rnacentral:lncRNA from 1 species
GCUCGAGCAAGAAUCGAUCCAUUGAGAUUGCGAAGAAAGAAACUUCAUAAUCUGAAAAGGUAGAUCCUAAACUAUUCUUGAUAAAUCUUGAUAGUCUGGCUUUUCAAUUCUUUUCAAUUGAACUACGAUGAUUUGAUCUUAUAUCUGCAGGUGGGAUGGAAAAGGAUCUCAGGGUAUUUGGAUCCGGUUAAGUAUAUAACAAAAUGUUUAUGCAGAUAUCAUUUACUCUCUCUCUUUCUUGAUUUAUCUUUUCUUGAGAAGUUGCUGAAGAUUGUUUUAUGAGAGUAUUAUAAGUCACCGCAUUUGGUAAUCAAGUGUUGCUUUCCCAAACGAAGUGACUUAUAAAGAUCUCAUGAUUAAUCGAUUUUUUGCAAGGUCUUGAAGAGAGUAAAGGACCAUGAUGUCCUGAGUGAAAAUGGAUUUAUCUUUCUUUUUUUUUGUCUUAUAAUGUGCCAGGUCUCUUUGUGUGUUACUGUCCACUCUUUCUUUUUGUCUGGGUGAUAACAAGAUAAAUCCCAAGCAUCAUCCACCUUAUUAGCUUUGACAUAAACGAAGGCUUGUAAAAUGGAAGAUUCUUGGGAUUUAUCUUUUUGUAGUCUCCUCUUCUAAAAGAGUAAUGUCAACAUACACGGAAAUGAUUUCAAAUUCUAAAAGUGUUGCUUAAUGUUACAACAUACACGACAAUGAUUUCAGGCUUGUGGAGGAACAUGAUGCUUCUGUUUAUGGAUUUGUAAGCCAGAAACUUGAUAUUUGCUAAAGAAGUGUUAACCGUUUGCAUGUGUUAUAACUGAGUGUUUACACCCACUUUAUGUAUAAAUGGAAUAAGGUUGCUUUCCCCCAUCAGAUUAAAGACUAAGUGAUCAAGAUUUUAUCUUUUUGUUUCUUAGUUUGAACUUUUUUAUGUUCUCGUAAUGUAUUGAUCAAUGUGAUAUAAAAUAGAUAACAAUGUUGUGCCAAACAAAACUAUGUUGAUAGGUACGGUUUUGUGCAAUUAAUGGACAACCACUUCAUGUUAGCCAUUUUCAAAAACGUUAACGAAAAGAUUGGUAAAUACUUAUCCACUAGGUACGUGGAAAGAGAUUAUUAAUUUUAUUAUUUUUAGAUAAAAAGAUAUUAGGUCUCUUUAAUCUAGAUAUUGGUUCAGUUUUAGGUUGGUUUUUUUUUUUUAAUCUCCUAAAAUAUCACUAUUAGAGAUGUCAAACAAGUUUACCCGUCUCGUACCGCGGCGGGUUAGUCAUCAAGCGGGCCAGCUGGCUUUUUCCGCGUGGACUGCGGUCUUCAGAAUGUCGGCUCAAACCCGUACCGCAGAACAUAUAGGCCUUCGCGGGUCGUCCCGCGGGAUGCCUCCUUGUCAAACCGCCUACUACAACUUCCUUCAUGAAUGUUCAAAUUGAAGAGUUGUGUAAGAGAGUUGAAGAUAGCUCAUUAAGCUUCACUAAAGUCUUAUCAAAAUCAAUGCCAUAAAGCUCUGUUUGUGCUUGUGUUCUUGAGUUAAAAGCCUUUUCUUGUUAUCAUCAUAAGAUUUUAUUAAAUUUGAAUUUGAUUGAGUUGUUGUCUUUGUAAUAACUUGGCUCAAGUGUUGUAUGUUUUCAUCAAACCAUCUUUCUUUGUAAUUCUUUGGAUUUCAAAAAAAAAAAUCGUUAAUCAUUUGUCAAAUUAUACAAGUCACAUGAUAUACAACUAACUUUUCUCCUAAACAACAUCAUUGUAACCAUAUUUAAUUUAAGAAAAAUACCAUUUCACAAUACUGAAAACGAAACCAAGCAACUUAAACAAGAAAUCCCACAUUGUAAUAAAGCAAUUAAUAGUUGUGUUUAAUAAAAAGAGAAAACCAAAUCAAAACAACACCAGAGCUCGAAUCGUCAUCGCUGAAGCUGGAGUCGUCAUCGCCGGAUCUCGAAUCAUCAUCACCGGAGCUCAAAUCAUCAUCGCCGGAACUCCUUAUGUUUUCAAGGGGAAAAGUCACAAGAAUCGAUUUCUUCUCACUAUCUCUCUCGUUCUUUUCAGGUAAAAUAAGAAAUGAAAAAAAAUGCGGGUCCAUAUAAUCCCGCAUGACCCGUUUCGACCCAGUCCCGCAAAGACCUGUCCCGCGAAGCCCGCAAAUUUACGGGCCUAGAAAACCUCGUCCCAAUACCGUCCCGCGACAGGCCUUUACGAACCAGGCCCGUGGUCCAAGUCCAUGAUUGCCAUCUCUAAUCACUACCAUUCUAAAUCUAUAUUUAUUUUGGUUUGUUCGGUUAAAAUGCUUAAGGUUUUUGUUUUCUUUGGGUGAUAAACAAAAAACUAUUAUUAUUGGUUUGGUUUCAUGUUAUAUGAGUUUUAGACUGUCGAACCAAUAGUUUGAAUUCAUAUUAUAAUUUAUAAACGUAUACAAAAUCAAAUCAAAUCUAGAUAAUAGUUAAAAAAAAAAUUAUUAAGACAAAUCAUUUCUCUACAAUUUGGUCGAUGGUGAAAGGAAGCAUUAAAAAAAAUAUAUUCCAAUUUCAAUUAUUAUUGAGUAAAAAAAAAGUAUGCAAUGAUAUUACUGAUUGACUCAAAGUUGUUUAUGAGUUCAGUUGUUUUGAUAUGGAACUCUAAACUAAUCUUUAAAGUGUGAGAUUAUUUGAGUUGCGUUUUGAUAGACCAUGGAUUUAACCCACUCUCACCCAUGAAUUAUCAGUGUUUUAAUUAUUAAUUAUUAUAUUAUAGAGUUUAUUUAGUAUAUUUAUAGGAUCAGAAGUGAUUUGGAGACAAGUGAUGAUUUUGGAGCAUUUUAGAGAUAUUUGGAGCAAGCACCCGAGAUGACCAUCGAGCUCGACCAUCGGUCGAUAUUGAAGAGGAAUAAUCGAUCAAUGUUCACAUCAGAGCAUCGAUCGACAGCGAAGCGCGCAAAAAGCCUGUUUGGUCACAGCCGACUUGAAGCCCAAGUCUUCACCAGUUUACAAGAUUACUGAUAUAUGGUGUUUUUGGCAUCUUGUAUAUAUGUUUUCUAAUUGGUUUUCAAGUCAUUAUCGAGUCUUCCUAAUCCUUUUCGAGUCAUUACAGGUCUGGAGUUGCAUUGGAUUGGAGAUAGACCAGCUGAAACAAAAAGGACAGAACACAAUGCAAUCUGGAGUUUUCACGCGGAACCGUCUGAGUGACUGUUCCCGAUAGCGGAGCAACCCGAGUGACUGUUCUGGAUAGAGAGGAGCAACCCGAGUGCAUGUUCCAGCGGCAGAGAUUUUUAAGGAAACUACAAGUCAUUACGGAAUUUGCCCUAAUUAUCCCAUCUUUUUCUCCCAGCCGCCAGUGGCUUCCAUAUAACUUCUCUUUCUGUUUUUCUAUAUUUUAUUACGCUGUUUUUGAGACAAGGAACCAGACUUGAGUGAUAAAAAGAUAUUAGGUCUCUUUAAUCUAGAUAUUGGUUCAGUUUUAGGUUGGUUUUUUUUUUUUAAUCUCCUAAAAUAUCACUAUUAGAGAUGUCAAACAAGUUUACCCGUCUCGUACCGCGGCGGGUUAGUCAUCAAGCGGGCCAGCUGGCUUUUUCCGCGUGGACUGCGGUCUUCAGAAUGUCGGCUCAAACCCGUACCGCAGAACAUAUAGGCCUUCGCGGGUCGUCCCGCGGGAUGCCUCCUUGUCAAACCGCCUACUACAACUUCCUUCAUGAAUGUUCAAAUUGAAGAGUUGUGUAAGAGAGUUGAAGAUAGCUCAUUAAGCUUCACUAAAGUCUUAUCAAAAUCAAUGCCAUAAAGCUCUGUUUGUGCUUGUGUUCUUGAGUUAAAAGCCUUUUCUUGUUAUCAUCAUAAGAUUUUAUUAAAUUUGAAUUUGAUUGAGUUGUUGUCUUUGUAAUAACUUGGCUCAAGUGUUGUAUGUUUUCAUCAAACCAUCUUUCUUUGUAAUUCUUUGGAUUUCAAAAAAAAAAAUCGUUAAUCAUUUGUCAAAUUAUACAAGUCACAUGAUAUACAACUAACUUUUCUCCUAAACAACAUCAUUGUAACCAUAUUUAAUUUAAGAAAAAUACCAUUUCACAAUACUGAAAACGAAACCAAGCAACUUAAACAAGAAAUCCCACAUUGUAAUAAAGCAAUUAAUAGUUGUGUUUAAUAAAAAGAGAAAACCAAAUCAAAACAACACCAGAGCUCGAAUCGUCAUCGCUGAAGCUGGAGUCGUCAUCGCCGGAUCUCGAAUCAUCAUCACCGGAGCUCAAAUCAUCAUCGCCGGAACUCCUUAUGUUUUCAAGGGGAAAAGUCACAAGAAUCGAUUUCUUCUCACUAUCUCUCUCGUUCUUUUCAGGUAAAAUAAGAAAUGAAAAAAAAUGCGGGUCCAUAUAAUCCCGCAUGACCCGUUUCGACCCAGUCCCGCAAAGACCUGUCCCGCGAAGCCCGCAAAUUUACGGGCCUAGAAAACCUCGUCCCAAUACCGUCCCGCGACAGGCCUUUACGAACCAGGCCCGUGGUCCAAGUCCAUGAUUGCCAUCUCUAAUCACUACCAUUCUAAAUCUAUAUUUAUUUUGGUUUGUUCGGUUAAAAUGCUUAAGGUUUUUGUUUUCUUUGGGUGAUAAACAAAAAACUAUUAUUAUUGGUUUGGUUUCAUGUUAUAUGAGUUUUAGACUGUCGAACCAAUAGUUUGAAUUCAUAUUAUAAUUUAUAAACGUAUACAAAAUCAAAUCAAAUCUAGAUAAUAGUUAAAAAAAAAAUUAUUAAGACAAAUCAUUUCUCUACAAUUUGGUCGAUGGUGAAAGGAAGCAUUAAAAAAAAUAUAUUCCAAUUUCAAUUAUUAUUGAGUAAAAAAAAAGUAUGCAAUGAUAUUACUGAUUGACUCAAAGUUGUUUAUGAGUUCAGUUGUUUUGAUAUGGAACUCUAAACUAAUCUUUAAAGUGUGAGAUUAUUUGAGUUGCGUUUUGAUAGACCAUGGAUUUAACCCACUCUCACCCAUGAAUUAUCAGUGUUUUAAUUAUUAAUUAUUAUAUUAUAGAGUUUAUUUAGUAUAUUUAUAGGAUCAGAAGUGAUUUGGAGACAAGUGAUGAUUUUGGAGCAUUUUAGAGAUAUUUGGAGCAAGCACCCGAGAUGACCAUCGAGCUCGACCAUCGGUCGAUAUUGAAGAGGAAUAAUCGAUCAAUGUUCACAUCAGAGCAUCGAUCGACAGCGAAGCGCGCAAAAAGCCUGUUUGGUCACAGCCGACUUGAAGCCCAAGUCUUCACCAGUUUACAAGAUUACUGAUAUAUGGUGUUUUUGGCAUCUUGUAUAUAUGUUUUCUAAUUGGUUUUCAAGUCAUUAUCGAGUCUUCCUAAUCCUUUUCGAGUCAUUACAGGUCUGGAGUUGCAUUGGAUUGGAGAUAGACCAGCUGAAACAAAAAGGACAGAACACAAUGCAAUCUGGAGUUUUCACGCGGAACCGUCUGAGUGACUGUUCCCGAUAGCGGAGCAACCCGAGUGACUGUUCUGGAUAGAGAGGAGCAACCCGAGUGCAUGUUCCAGCGGCAGAGAUUUUUAAGGAAACUACAAGUCAUUACGGAAUUUGCCCUAAUUAUCCCAUCUUUUUCUCCCAGCCGCCAGUGGCUUCCAUAUAACUUCUCUUUCUGUUUUUCUAUAUUUUAUUACGCUGUUUUUGAGACAAGGAACCAGACUUGAGUUUUGAGAGAUUUGUGAUUUGAUACUUUGUAAAGGGAGAAGGCUCCAUCUCUCUCACCAUAGAGAAGAACCCCCUGAACCCUUAUUAUAUUUUAUCUACACAUGUUUUAUUCAGUCUCAGUCUCUGUGUUUUCUCUGUUCAUGGCGGAGUAGUCAACUUGCUUAGUCUAGGGUGUUAGGGUGUUAGAUUCGUGAGCUUGACAUAAAUAAGUUAUAAAUCGAUUGUCUUCAUUCACUGUUGUUCUUAAGGCUUGCAUCAAGUUAACCACUUAGUGCCUGAUUCUAGGUUUAAUCUAUUCAUCAAAAGUGUUAUAGGUUGCUAGACAUAACUUGAAUGAGCAUUGCAUCCCUAACCAGCGAAAGUAGAUGUUAGGGUGUUUUGUGAACACAAUUUGGCGCCGUUGCCGGGGACCAUCUUUUUACCUUUAUUUUUCGGUUAUUUAUUUAGUCUAAGACCUCUAACUUGCUCUAUCCUUUUUGUUGUGACUAAUGUUCCAGGUGCAUGACCAGUAGACAUACUCGGAGAAACGCACAAGGAGAAUUGGUUACACUUACCAACCAGGAGCUAGCAAGGUUAGAAAGAACAAAUCUUCAACAGCCAAGGCAAACCGACACCACUAUGGGUGAACACGCCAAUCAGGAUGAUCUAGCUGCACCAAUGCAACUCAUGCAGCAGCAGAUGCAACAGUUGCAGCAGACCAUUCAAGCGCAGGAACAAACUGCUCAACAGCAGCAGGAACAGCAGGCGCAAACUGUUCCAAUCGGGCAGAGAAACCUUCCGUGCAACAUCCCUACUAUGCGCUCUGCCAUUGCUCCUCCACCCUGCACCAGGCAGGACUUCGAGAUCAAGCCUGCUUUGAUCGGUCUAGUACAGAGAAAGGUGUUCUCUGGUCUCUCUACAUAAAUUCCAAUGGAGCAUAUUGAGAGCUUCGAAAAAGUCUGCAGUUUCACUCGCGCGAAUGGUGUUCCACUAGAGUACAUCAGGUGCAUGUUAUUCCCAUUCUCUCUUGAUGGAAAAGCUGCACGGUGGUUGAACUCUCUCCCUACCGGCUCUCUCACUUCAUGGGAACAGGUCCGAUCAGCGUUCCUCAGCCAUUUCUACUCGAAGGCGAGAACAACUGCAUUGAGGAACAAGAUCACCUCCUUCAGACAGCUCACUGAUGAGCCUUUCUGCGACACAUGGGAGCAAUUCAAUGACUAUCGCAGGGAAUGUCCUCACCAUGGAUUUGAUGAUGACUACCUCUUGGAAAUUUUCUAUGAUGGAGAUGACUGGGAAUUUCAGAGUGUUAUGAACUCUGCCAGCAAUGGAGACUUCUUGACUCAGACCACUGAUGGAGCGUUUGAGUUGAUUAAGAACAUGGCUGCUACUUCAGCCAAUAAGAACGAGUAGAGUGAUUGCUCCAAGAAAGGGAACAGUUCUGACACCCAGAAGAUAGAUGAGCUGACUGCCAAGGUUGAUCAGCUACUGAAAAACAACCAAGGGCACGUUUUCAGCAUGGAGCGCGCUAUGGCCGGGCAGAUUCAGAACCUGAACCAGCAACAACUGCAGAUCAAUCGGCAAGUUGUUCCAGCUACCGUGAACAGUCAACCAGAUGAGCUGAAGGGUCUGGGUAUGAUGAUGCGACAACUGUUGCAGGGUCAGAAGGUUCAGGCCAAGUCGUCGAAUCAGGUAACCACGAAAAUGGACACCAGGAUGGGCAACAUGUUCACUGAGCUGAAUAACAAGUAUGACACUCUUGCGAUCCACAUAAGAAAGAUCGAUGUUCAGCUUGCUCAAACAGUUGAGAGUCUCAAGAGGCAACAAGGGACGCUCCCUGGAAAAACUGAUUAAAAUUCUAGGACUGAGCACUGUAAUGCAAUAGAGCAGCCGUUCGCUGAGACUGUUCUAGGCGCAGAAGAGAACACAGAGCAGUGUGCUAGCUCUAGAGCGACUGGUCCUAGCGAACUUGCUGAGAUUUUACCAGUGCCAGUUUAUGUUCCUAUGGUUCCCUAUCCAAUUCCACCUAAACAUCUGAUGGAUCCUAUUAGUGCAGAGCAGCUGGCUGGGUUUAGGAAGAUGGUAAGAAGGCUUCCUCAAAAGAUCUCAUUUGAAAAUGCUUGGGAGAUUCGGCCAUUGCAUAUGUUCUUCAGAAAUUGUAGAGAAUCUCAAGAGGAAAUCAAGGCACUCUUUACUGAAGCACUGACACCAUCGCUGAAGGUACUGCCUAAGGUUGAUGACCCUGGAAAGUUUGUUUUUCCUUGUUCCAUUGCUGGAGUAAAAUUCAAGGAAGCUCUUUACGAUUCUGGAUCUAGUGUGAACCUUGUCUCAAGAGCGAUUGUAGACGAGCUGGGCAUUGUUGAUGUUGAGCCUUCUCAGGUGAAUCUGGCCUUUGCAAACUCUUCCAUGACAGUCCCUUAUGGAACCAUUCGCAAUCUUCCUGUCCAGGUUGGGGACUGUGUGCUCCAUACAAAAUUUCAAGUUGUUGAGAUGAGGAACGAUCAUGAGAUGCCUUUGAUCUUUGGAAGAUCAUUUAUGGCUACAGUGGAAGCAAUCGUCGACAUGCCUAAUAAGAGAGUCUCCUUCUCCAACAUCAACAAGAAGGUUUUCUACAAGGCUGUCCCAACCAGAUCACAAAUCCGAUAUGCCUCAUGCAUCUCAGUGGUUAGUGGAGAACAGCUGGAAAUUGUUCCUAAGAAGGAGCUUGGUAAAAAUGGUGAGAUCAAAGAAGUCCUGGAUCGAGAUCCUCACAUUGAUACCAAGAAACUCAGUGGGAAUGUAAAGCUAAAUGAAAAAGUCCAGAAGAAAAAGGUCAAGGGUGAUCCUAUGAUGACUUUGAUACCUCGCUUGUGUGAUGAGAAAUCCAUUGAGUAUGAGGUAAAGUGCAAGGGUACCUCUAAACCUUUCUCUAAAGUCAGAGCUAUUCUCACACAUGAGCUGAAAGAGAAAGGGGAAGCUGCUGUAAAAGGGUUGUUGAGUAGAGUUUUGAAGCUGAACAUGUCUGAUUGUGGAGCUUGUUUUGGAACAAGCCCUCAUGCUCAACCCGACUGAUCCCAGUCACCAAGUCAAGCUAGUGACUUAAACCAAGCGCUUGGUCGGAGGCAACCCACUGGUAAGUGUAAAUAUACCUUGGUCCGAUCAGGUUACACUGGGUAGACUUAACUCCACCUAACUUGAACCUAAUCUUGACUGAAAUUCUUCUUGUUAUGGGCAUUAGAUCAGGGAAACGAGAACACACUCAGGACUUCUUAUCCUUUUUAUCCAUCUUGCUGAUCAUGCUCAUCUUUAGCUAGUUCCCACCCUGCACCUUAGCCUUUAUUCCAUCUUCAUGCAUUAGUUUUUCAGUGUCAUAUGUGCAGAUAUGUACAAAAAGGUCGGAGACGAAAGGAUCAACGCAGCCUCCUACUCGUUACUGCUGCAGAAAUUCAGUCAGAAAGGAGAACAAGCAGAUUAAGGGAGCAACCGCUCCAUAACCAAUGAACUGCGCAAGAGCGGGGGUGGAGAACCAGAAUUGUUGCAAAAUCAGAACCACCAGUGGCACUCAUAACCAUCAUGUAUGACCUCCUUCUUCGUCACAUCACCAUAUAAAAAAAAAAAAAAAAAGAACCAAAAUAAGGUGAUGAAAAAAAAAAGAACCAAAAUAAGGUGAUGGAGAAGGGGAAGAAAUCAAAGAAACAUAGCCACUGGGAAGAUCGAGCAAAUGAGUGGGUACCAAAAGGAAAGUGGAACGCAGAACAAUCAGUUGCAUGUUCCGUCAUCAGAACAGUCGCACCAGAUAGAGCAAAAAAGAGUAGAGGCUGUGGACAUCAAUAGAUCUAUCCUCUCUUGCCAUUUUGUGCGAUAUCCUGCAUCCUCUUCAAUGAAAUGGUAGCCCCUAAACACUUUUAACUCCACCAUUAAAUAACCUGUUUCACACCUAGACCGUCUACCCUGAAUGAUGUCUGUGAUGAGAAGCUCACGCUACUCUUAAAUGAAUGUAGGGAGUUUUGUCUCGAUAGUGUUGCUUUUUCAGGUUUGAGAUGAAGAGUAUGGAGCCGAUUUUUGAACAGCAGUCAGUGGGGUUCUGGUAAGGGUGUAUUGUCCUAGUUUUAUUGCUUGCAUGGUUCAUAGAUUCGUUGUUAAAGUAUGGUUGCUGAGAAUAGGAGAGUUCUCACACUUUCAAACCUUUCUCCCUGUUCUUGAUACUUGACAUUGUUUGAGGACAAACAAGGAUCUAAGUCUGGGGGAAUUGAUAUAUGGUGUUUUUGGCAUCUUGUAUAUAUGUUUUCUAAUUGGUUUUCAAGUCAUUAUCGAGUCUUCCUAUUCCUUUUCGAGUCAUUACAGGUCUGGAGUUGCAUUGGAUUGGAGAUAGACCAGCUGGAACAAAAAGGACAGAACAUAAUGCAAUCUGGAGAUUUUCACGCGGAACAGUCUGAGUGACUGUUCCCGAUAGCGGAGCAACCCGAGUGAAUGUUCUGGAUAGAGCGGAGCAACCCGAAUGCAUGUUCCAGCGGCAGGGAUUUUUAAGGAAACUACAAGUCAUUACGGGAUUUGCCCUAAUUAUCCCAUCUUUUUCUCCCAGCCGCCUGUGGCUUUGAUAUAUCAUAUUUUUCUCUUUCUUUUNNNNNNNNNNNNNNNNNNNNNNNNNNNNNNNNNNNNNNNNNNNNNNNNNNNNNNNNNNNNNNNNNNNNNNNNNNNNNNNNNNNNNNNNNNNNNNNNNNNNNNNNNNNNNNNNNNNNNNNNNNNNNNNNNNNNNNNNNNNNNNNNNNNNNNNNNNNNNNNAUUGUUUUAGCUAAGUAUUGAUCCCAUAAAGAUAAAGUGUAAUCGUUGGUCUCUGUGGAUUCGAUCCUAAAGUGCUACAUCGACAUACCAUUCGAUUGUGGUAGUGUGCACAUUAGGUUAAUUGGUGUGCGUAUACACGUAAUAUCAAUUACCCUUGACGAGUUUUAACCUAAUUAUAUAAGCUUUGCCACCAUGUUAGAGGCAAAGUGUGCUUUUCGUGUGUUUUCUUGCUUUACUAUUUUCACAGCAAAGGUUUUCUAGGAUUUUGAUAGAUUGGAGAGAAAAUCCAAAGUUAUAUUUGUGAUUGGAACUCCAUUGAUAUCUAUUUACUAUUCUAAUGAAGUUUUCUUACUUUAUUGAUGUUAUGAAUUGCUUGGCCAUGUUUGAGUAGUUUCUUUGUUAGAUUUUAGGGUUUAAAUAGGUUAUGAGGGAUUAGCCUCAACUAUAGAUUGCUGAGUUGUGAUAAUAAUCAUUAGGAUUGUCAUUAAUGUCUGAUUCUAGAUUAGCUACCUAGAACUUGCCCUAGGAAUGUUAGAUAUAAUCGAUAGCUUUAAUCUCAUCCUGAAACCAUUCUAACUGAGCUAAGAUUCUUGCUAGAGUAAGGCGAGAGCUGAUCUAGUGAGCUUAGUGAACACAUUCAACCCGCACAUUAACGCUUGACCAAUAGCGUCGAUCGAUAUUCAAAUAGAAUAAUCGGUCGACGUUUCGAAUAGUGUAUCGAUCGAUAUUCAUAUAGAAUCAUCGAUCAGACACUGGUCAAUAGACGAACCUAGAAAGCGAGAGCCUAGUGGUUCGUUUAUAAGUGUUGAGCUCUACAUUAUCAUGCAUGCAACUCAUUAGGCAUCUGUAGGAUUAUAAUUCCAAGUCUCCUGAAUAAAAACCCUAAGUCUAGCUAUUUGCUCAACAAACUUUAAUUUUACAUUUAAAUCAAUUAAACCACCUUACAUAAUAAAUCCAAUUAUAUUUAUUAGGUUUCCUAGCUCCUUGUGGAUUCGAUCCCUAAGUACUACAAUUGAACCUCUUAUUUGAGAGAGUAAAAUCACUCCUUAGGGUAAUUUGAGUAAGAUCUCGUUUUUAUAAAAUGUGUCAUGUAAUAUAUUAGCAAAUCGAAAUUGUAUAUGACUUUAGUUUUGAUAAAGAACAUUGGAGUAUAUUGUGUAAUCGAAUUUGAGAGGUUUAUGAAGGAGAAGAAAUAUCAAUUAGCUUCUUGCAAAUUGCAUUUCUACGUGGAACCUUUGUAUAACCCAUGGAACCUUGUAUAUAUUUGAAUUUUAUAUUGACAAAAAACCGUAAAGGAUUAUAUUAGGAAAGCGAUUUUGUUGAGGUUUAUUUAGAAAAGAACAUUACAAUAAAUUUGUAAAGUUAGUUUGAGAACCUGCCACGUGGCGAAGGUAGUGUGAAUACAUUAGUGUCAAAUGUUUUUCUUUUAAUAUAUAGAGGUUUUACGAAUCUCGAAGUCGGUAGAUUUUGAGGUGAAACAAGAGAUUGUUACCUUCUGGAACCAACAGACAUGCAUGCAAUCACAUACCUUGCCUUUCUUAAGUUUCUUUUCAAGUACUUAUCUCUCUCCCACCGUGCAUGUGUGUCAUCUUCAUAGGUUUGGGAACGUUGCUGUGUCUUCUUGCUUCAUUUAAGUUCAGUUAUAUGUCCUCUUAGUCUCUUCUGUCUUGUCCUUUUCAUUAUACACCACUUCCACGUUGGUUUUUGUCACUGUUGCAUCUGUUGUGAAGUGUAACGCCUUGGAAAGGUUCCAGUGAUAAAAGAAGAGGCAUUAUUCUCAAUGCAAGAAACUUUGUUUCUAGUUACGACAACCACACCGCCCUUUCCAGAAAGCUUAUGCUAUCUCCUGGUAACUCAGACACUGCUUGGUUGCCUUAAUAUAUCCAUUAAGAGCAGAGUCUCUUUUUGUAUGUUUUAUGAAACCCCAAAGACACCUAUUCAAAAUCUUAUCACAUUUCCUAACAAUAGUAAGCUUCACCUUCACGUAUAACACAAGUCUAUGUUUUAUGUUUUGAGGAUCCCCAGACAAAUGUUUAUAUCCAUUGUUGGCUUCACAUAUCAGUUAAAAAAUCAAUAUCCGUGUUUUUAUGUUGUAAGAACCCUAAAGAGAAAUUAUCAGAGACAUUUUUCAUGCAUACAUUAUUUCACCGAAAUCAAAGAUAUAUCUUUGUUUUCAUUUAUAAUAACGUGAAAGACGCAUCUUCGGGGGAUAAUUUCAGAUUUUUGCGACGGGACAAAAGGAUCGAGACAAGAUUGCUCAAAAGAUGAUAUUAGCCAUUUUCGUUUCUUCGACGCCGCGGCAAAAGAUGAGCGUCUAAAAAAUAACAAACGAUGGAUAGAAAUAACGACAUGACAGUUGCUGACGUAACUGACGCUAAAGCUCUUUCAUCCAUUUUAAUGGUCGCCGUAAAAAACAGCGACUUCGUUACUGCCAGUGGCGGCAAUUGUUCCGUGUAUAAUUGAGUCGCAACAUCUUCAAACAAGCUGUUUUUAAUGAAAUGCUGACGUGGCAUUUGAUAUUUUUGAUCGCACGUUAUUGACGCCGUGUCUAAUAAAAGAACAGGGCUAUUGUUGUCUUUCAAGGCUCAACGGUUCCACUUCCAAACGGAAUUCCUGCUUUCACAGUUGAGAUCUUCAACACCAUGUGUCUCGGACUGCAAGAUCAUGGAGAUCAACGUCACUUGUGGCUGGUUUAGCUCAGUCAGACUGGUUAACCCUAGAGUUUUCAGGCGACUCUCCUACUACGAUUGUCUGGUUAAAGACGGUCAACCUCUUGCUCCUGGACAGACGCUCUCCUUUCUGUAUGCUAACAGCUUCUCUUACCCUCUCUCUGUUUCUUCAGUCUCUUGCUUCUGAUUUUAGACAAGUAACAAAUCGUGUUUUAUCAAAUCAAGGUCUUGGUUAAGCCAAAAGUUUCUGGUUAUGUUUUUUUUUGUCAACAAUUUCUGGUUAUGUUUAGAAACUGUUUAGUAACAAAUUUGUGAUGAGGAUAUGGAACAGAUUCUAGUGAGUCACCUUAUUCACACUCUCUAAUGUUAAUGAUGAUAAUUACAGAGGAGAUACUAUAAUACUUGUUUGAUUUAGUGAUAAGCCAAACAAAAACUUCAUAGUACAAGAGAUUACUGAUGAUCUUCAUAUCAUAAUUAAUCAUUAUUCGAACAUAAAAUCUUAUAGAAUCUCUCUAAACCUCUCUUAUUCUAAAUUGCUCCUGUCAAUGUGUGGUGGAGCCUUUCUAUAUUUAGGUUUAUAAAUUAUAAUGGUUUUGACGACUGAUUCCAGAUGCACUUUUGUCCUUUCGUAUCAGUUCGAGGCCUCUUCCCUACGGAUAAAACCCAUGCUAGAAUUGUGCUAGCCCAACAAGGGCGGGUGGGUUAGGAAGGAUAUACGUUAUUUCCUUUAUAUCACAUCAUAAAGUACUAACUCGGAUUCAACCAACUCGGAUCGGAAGACAUCGUACUACACACUUUGGGUUGCUAAGUAACCUAGGUUCGAAAAAACUCCACUACAUUUCAUAUUCUGGACACAUGGAUAUGAGGUAAUGUUUUAGGCCAUACAUUACGUUAAUUAAAAAAAAAAAACUUAACCAGAAAUUUAGUCCAUCCGUAUACUGGCCUGAGUGGGCAAAAAAACCAAACUGAUCCAACCGAACCCAAACUGAUUCCAACGAAACCAAAGUAUAUGUCUAAUCCAUUUGGUUCAAAAUUUUAUCAACCCAAAUGGUUCGGUUUGGUUUUAAACCGAACCAAACUGAAAAACCGAAGUGUUUUUAACUAGAUUAAUUAAAUAUACAAAUAAUAUUAAGAUUUAAUAUAUUUAACUAUUUAACCUAAUCAACUAAACAUAAUUUUAUACAUUUUACUUUUAAAUGAAUAGAAUAAAUACAACUAAAAAUAAAAUAAACGAAUAUAAAUCUCAUAUAUAAACAUCAAAACGGAAAGUUAUUUAUGAUAUUUAUAUUAGGUAUAUAUUAGGUUUGAAGAUAAUAAUAAAAAAAUUAUUGAAUUAAUUUUUUAUAUAUUUAUUGUGAUGUUUGGUUUUACGUUUAAAUAUGAAGGAAAUAAUGAUUUAGUAUCAAAUGGUGAUUUGUUUAUGUUUUUAUAAAUCAUAUUUUUGUAAUUGAACUUGAACAAAACAAAAAAAUCAACUCAAUUGAACUGAAAAAUACAAGAAAAACCAAAUUAAACCUAACCAAACACGAACCAAACAGAACACAAACCAAACCGAAGUAAAACAAAACCAAACUGAACAUAAACCAAACCAUACAAAUUUGGGUUGACUUUGGUUCAAGUUUUCUUAGACCCAAAUAACCCAACCAAACCGAACCCAAACCAAACCCGUAAUUAAGCUGAAAUGCCCACCCCUAGUGCUCUGCUAUCUUCGACAUGGACCCAAUGAAGUUAAAUUUAGUCUACUAAUAAAUAUCUCUUCUCAUCUCUCUAUCAAUAAAAAAACAUUUGUAAAAUUUUAUGAAAUUUCACGCAUCUCUCAUCCUCUUAAUAUAAUAGACUACCACUAUUUAUUUUUAAUAUUACCUUUAAUCCAAUUAAAUCAUGAAUUAUAAAAUAAUAAAUAAUUUUUCAAUACAAUUUUCUAACAAAUAAUAAAAUUAGUAAUUUAAUUAUAUAUAUUUAUAUUUUAAACUUUUAAGACUAAAUUUUCUUUAAAAAAAAUAAACUCAGUAAUAACCUGUAUCAUUAUUUACAUAUAUAUCAAAUCAUAUCAAUAUUUUAUUUCAAUAUAUAUUAAUAUUAGUUUGAAAUGAAUAUAAAAUGUUAUUAAUCAUUUUAAUAAUUUAGAUGUAUUAUAAAUAUAAAUACAUCGAAAAUAAUAUGAAAUGUCAUAUGUCACUUAAUUCUAUCCUAAACCAGAAAAAUUCAACAUAAUAUACUAAAUAAUAUAAUUAAUAAAUUUAGUUAUACUAAUAAAUUUAUAUUAGUCUUAAAAGUUAUGUUUGCAAGAGAAAAUUUAAUGAGAAAUUUUAUUUAAUCCAAAAUAAUAAAAAAUAAUAUUUAUAUAAUUUAUUUAUUUUAAAAAUGCAAAUAUUAAUAUAUAAUUUUUAAUAUUUAAUAAUAAAAUAUAGUAAUUUGUUAAUGUAUUAAAAACUAUCUAAAUAAUUGCGUUAGAUUCUUAUUUAUGACUCAAAAGCUGUUUUGUAUCAUAUUUUUAUCAUUUCGCCAAAAGGAUAACAAAUAUAAUUGUGACCGUGAUACUCUCUCUAUUUUAUAAUAUAAGUAACUUUACAAAAAAUGUUCCACAGUAUGUAGUUUUAAAAUUUCAAUACAACAUUUAUAUUUAUUUAAUAUUAUGUGAUCAAUUAAAUUAUGUAUUUUUUAUAAUUGGUUGAAAUUAUAUAUUAAAUGAUGCUUUUAACAAGUAACCACAUUCUUAAUAUGAGUGCUUUUAACUAAACUACAUAUAUUUUGAAACAUAUGGAGUGUGAAAAGCUUCAUUUGUUUCUAAUGAGUUUUUGUCAGCAAUGAAGGAUCUAACAAACUAUUUUCUAUUUCAAAUUUGUAGUUUUUUAUUUUUCAUAUUCUUACAUUUAUUAAAAGUUGAUUCUAAUGAAAUUUUUCUAUAAUUAACAAUUUUAAUUACUUAUAACCCAAUAUAUUCAAUUAUUUUUUAAAGUUUACAAUUUACCAUUAUUAACUAAUAAAAUUGCAUUAAAACAUUAAUAAUUUAAUAUUUGAAAAAAAUAUUUCUGAAAAUGGAGAGAGUCUAUAAAAUUGAGCAAGAACCAACAUAUUUUAUCGUAUCUUUGCUUAUAUAUAGAGAAAGACUAAAAUCCAGAACCAUAUUAUUUGUUAACAAGGCAUAUAGAAAUCAGACACUAAAAUAAAUUUAGUAGACUUAGUUUUUCCAACAAAGCAAAAACUUCUUUAUUCUUCACGAACUUUUAGUUGAAUUUACUCUUCUCUUCUUCAGAUCUUCUUCUUCACGAAUGCUCCUCAUGCAUUUUCAGUGCAAUGGCUUCUUUAUAUGCAAUUUCAAUUUUGUUGCAGAAGAUAUGAUCAAGAACAAAUACCUCCAGAGUGUGUCUAGCAUAUUCAGUUAACAGCUUCUCAUCAUCACUCUCUUCGUCAUAAUCAACCUUAAAGAAUAAUAUAAGACCAUCAAUAAAAAUAAUUUUUAAUCGAUAUGGAGCCAUAUAAACAAUGUGAAGCUAACCUCCAUACGGUUUGGAGGAACCCUUUCAUCUGGAAAUGGCUCAAGAACAGCUUUCUCCAGGAGUAACAUCGCAUCAUCAGCUAAAACAAACAUAUCAUUGUCCACACUAACAAUGGGAACUGCCAAUUCUUUGGCAGCAAAUGCUAUCUCUUUCUUAGGCUCGUCUUCAAGAGUCUUCAAUGUUUUUUCCGAAGCAUCCGAAUCAUCCUUGAGGAGCCUCACAAUUUGUUUUGAGAUUGUGAGUAUUAUUUUUUCCUUGUUGGUAUCCAAAACAAGAGAAUUUAACCCCUUAAACAAGAAAUCCAUCACCAAAGGGGAUGUAACGUUUUUGUUGAUGAAAAAGUGUUUCACAACUAGUUUCUGAAUCACAUCCAUUUUCUCUCGAGACAUCGCUCGCCUUGAUUUUUGGUCCAUCCCUAACCAGAAUGCGCAUAUGCUGCGUACCAAGGUAUUAACAGGAUACAUUCUUUGUUAUAUAUGAUGCAAUUAAUCUACUUAAAACUUUUUGAGAAAAUUUAUCAAGAAUUAAUUAACAAACAUGAAAAAACGUACUUUGUCCAUCUUGUCUUGUCGUCCAUCAACUUGUUUCGUUUUUCUUUCAUAAACCUCAAAAAAAUCUGAUUUACAACUGUAAAAUAAACCCUAAGAAGUUCCUUUCUGUACUGACUAUCAAGGCAGGGAAAAGGUCCGUUCACACUCUUUCUGCAAGGAUCAACUUUAAAGAUAAGUUGGUUGUGUGUUAAUGGUGCCAUGAAAAAAUGGAAUCACUCUAGAUAUACUCAAAAUCUUCGCAGAUGUACCUAAUGACCUGUACUUGAGCCUUAAUUAUAAGAGAGAAAGAGUCGUCUAUGAAACCAUCCAGUAAUCUAGGUAACACUAUAAACUUUUUCCAUCCCCAAUCAUGCUCUCUCUUAUAAAACUUGUGUAACGUAUUUGCAAGAAACCUGCACUACAAGGGAAGUGAGUAGAGAUAGCGCAUGAAGAUAGCAUUUUUUACGUAAAUGCUAUAAUUGAUAUAACACGCAGUUUAAGAUAGCGUUUCAAAAUGCAAAUGAUAUCUUUGUUUUUUACGGAUUCUAAAACUUUGUUUUAGAUAGCAUAUGCAUCGUUAAAAUGUUGUGUUUAAUCUAGGCAGAAAAAUUAUUUCAUUUCCCGGCAAAGACUUAGCAAAACUUAUUUCACUCUCCCUCCUAAACUCUCGAAAUUCACAACCAAAAUUUUAUUAAUUCUUUCAUAUUCUUCUUCUCUCGAUACAAAAUUUUCUUAAUUCUUUCAUUUUCUUAAUCUCUUUUUUUUUUCUCAACCAUUUUCAUAUUCUUCUUCUUUCAUUUUCUCAACCCUAAUUUAAAAACAACGGAGGAGAAAUCAACGCCAAGAAUCUUGGCCGUAGCUGUCUCCAAUUCCGAACUCUCCCCUCUCUCACAGUUACGGUAGCUCAUUUCUUCGAUUCUCCACUUCGAAAUCUCUCCUCUCUUGUAUAUCUCCUCCGAUUCAACAUCUCCAGCUGCUCAUGUCUCUGUAUCUUCUCCUAGUGCUCCUGUAAUUUCUCUCGCUCCCUUAAAGCAUGAUUCUUCAUAAGUGUUGUUGAUUUUGUGGUCUCCAAUGAUUUGCCUUGUUUGUUGGUUCUCUUAUGAAUUUCCAGAUUUAGUCCCUUCAGUUCUCUCUGGCUAUCGAUCUCCUCAAACAAAAGACGAAGCUUGUUUAAAUCUCUGUCUUUGUAGAUAGUUUAUUGUGUUUUUACGCGAGUGUUUCAUUUGGCAGGCAUUGAUUACACUGAAGAUCUUGUGACCUAUAAUGCCGCUGACCACAAGGUUGAACAAGUUUGUCUCUUUCUAUAUCUUGUCUUCACUACGAUGUUUAUGGAGCAGAAAUUUUGUUUCCACAAAGUUUGUAUGAUGCUCAAAGUUGAAGACUUUGAGACACUACAAGGGAAGGUGGUAAAGAUAGCAUAAAAAUAUGGCGUUUUGGUUUAAAAUGCUAUCUUUGACAUGAUCCAAAAUUUAAGAUAACGUUUUUACGUGGAUGCUAUUAAAAGGAGUAUAUACAAUAGCAUUGAUAAAUUUAAACGCUAUCUUUAGUCUAGGUGGAAAAUAAUUUCACUUUUGCGAUAGGUACUUAGAGCAUGCGCAAUGGGAAUCCUUAAGUGGAAGUCUUUAGAGAAAAAAUAAUUAAAUAAUCAGUAGACUCCACCAAAAGCUAAUGAUUCAAUCCUUAAAAUUUCUAAAUAAGGACUCUUUCUUAGUGAAUCCUUGCACUAUUUGCGGGUCCCCACGACUACGUGGCGGCCCGUGAAUGGUCAUCUUUUUAAAAAAAAAAAAAAAUCCAAAAUAUUCGGGAUUAAUCCGAAAUGCUCUUGUCGAUAAGGACUCCAAUGAGUUUUAUCGUUGCGCAUGCUCUUAGUGAGAAAUGAAGCUGCAAUUUUUUUUCGUUUUCCCACUCAAGUCUCGAAUAAAAUCUGAAAAAGAAAUGAAAAAAAAAAAUCUUCUCACGUUUUUAAUGAUAAAACAAAUAAAAAAUCUCCAUCUUGUUUCCCUGCCUUCAAACUCGAUUCAGAUCUAGAUUUCACACUUUCUCUCAUUUUCUUUAUCUUCUUCUUCCUCCUCAUUCUUUGCUGAGUUAUCAAGGUUUUCUUUAUACUGUUGAUUUCUUUAUUGUUCAGACUUUCGAUUCGGACAUAAAUCAAAAGUUAGAGAAGAGAGACGAGUAAGAGAAGAGAGAAUAGAGAAGAGAUAGAGUUCGGAACUGGCAAAGAAAGGAGAAGACGUGACGGCCGGAAUAAGCAGGGACGUCGCUCGGAGAUGGGAAGAGGAAGAAGAGGAGAUGACAGAAGAAGAAGCGGAGUGGUGUCGGAGAUGGCUGGUGAAGAAGACGCGACGGCAGCGGAGGUGAUACCUGAAUCUCUUUCGUAUUUGUUUCUUUCGGAUUUCGAUCGAUGUGUUUUCUUUGUUGCAGAUCCUUAAACUAGGAAGAAGAAGAAGAUCCGGUGUGGUCAGAGCCGGUCUUGAAGAAUUGGGGCCCCUAAUCUAAUUUUUUUUACUACAAGUUUAUUUAUAUUCCCUUUAUAUUUUUUCAUAAAUUUUACUAAAAAAUAUUUUAUAUUAUAACCAUAGUAAUGGUUUUACUUAAAAAAAAUAAUUUACAAAAAAAAUUAUGUCGACCAAAAAAAAAAUCUAAGUAACAAUAGGUUUAGUUUUUUAAAACGUAUUCUUGUAAGUGAGUUUACAAAGAAAAUUAUUUCUGAUGACUGAUAACAGAGUUAUUUUCUUCUGUAAUAUUAGUUUAGUUUAGAAAAAAUAACUCAGUUUUUUUGAAAAUGAGGGCCCCUUGAGGUGGAGGCCCCAUUCAAAUGUUUCACCCCCCCCACCCCACAAGCCCAGCUCUGGGUGUGGUGACAGAAGAAUAAGAAUUUGGUCAAAUACAUAUCUCGAUAAGGUAAAAUGAUAAGAGAACAUGAGCAUAAAACUCAGGUUUUGUUGUGUUUUGCUUUGUGCUGAUUCUUGACUUUCUUUCUAUGGAUUAUGUAGUACGCGAAGCCAGAGUAUGAGAUUGGAUUUCCAGGAGUACUAGAGCUUGUUAAGGAGGUGAGGAACCAUCAAACUUGUAUGAAAAUUAUGAAAAGGAAACGCAAAACCAAAGAAACUCCUAAGAAGUAUCGAAAAGGUUAGAUUUCCUGAAUCUUACUUCCAAGUUUUGAAUACACAACCGGUUACUUUUUUCGUUACAGCUAAAUAAUUUAUGGUUUCGUUGAGAUUCCAUAUACCAACCGGUUCCUUUUGCCGUAGAUUGCUUUUCAAGAAGCCACAAGGUCUCUACAUCAGCUUGAAAGAGAAGAGUGUUUUAGUAUCUCUCUCUUACCAUCUCACUUCCCUUUUCUUUUUUUGGAAUACUAAGGUGAAUAUAUAUGUUAUUUAGGGGCAAUAUUCUUAAAGUGUUGAAAGCUAUUCGUGAAUCCACUGAGUGGUCAUCACUUAGUGAAGCUCCUCAGUUUAGUUGAAGGCAAGUAAUUCUACACUGGAAGCAAGUUUCUUUUAUUCUCUUUGUAACUUUUAGUGUUCCAGAUGUGCUAACAUUACAGUGAUCGACUUCUUUGCCUUAACAAGUGAUUUCUUUACCUUUGACAUUAUGCUGUUUGAAUUCUUUUGCUUUUCAGUAACUUCUUUUGCCGUGACUUCAGGUUGCUUCUCUUUCGGCUCUUCAACAACAGGUGCUGUUUCAGCAACCUCUUUUACUUUCUCUGUUAUUGAUUCCUCUUAUUUGUUUGUUUCAGUUCCUUUCUCUUUGAUUCUGUAUCAGAUUCUUUCAAAGUCUCUUCGCUCUUGACAUCUGCAGUAGAAGUCGUCUUCUCUGUCGAAUCCAAAGAGGGAGGAGGUAAGAUCUUACGAAACCCUUUCGAAUGGUGUAAUCUUCUGUCUCCUCUCUUUCGCUUUGUACCGUUUUCUUUCCGUCGUUAGCGAUUCAAUUCCGUUUCUGGUUUUUUUUUGCAAAUUUCCGUUUCGUUUGAAAUUUUAUGUUGAUGGGUUUAUGGAAUUCGACAUGGGAUUUUGUAAUUUAGCUGAAAAUUUCGAUCUUUGGGUUUCGUUGAUCCUGGGGUUUCGUCUACUUGUUGCAGAGAUAUUUCUUCACUGGUAAACAAUGGUGAAAGCAGUAGUUGGAGAAGAGGCUAGGCUCACCUCUGCUGAAGAUCGUUCCUUUGAACCCUAAUCCUGCUGAGGUACUGAUUCAUGUUAUGUUAAAAAAUGCAUGUUUUGAUAUUGUUUCGGUUCUAAGUGUGGUUUUUGAUUUGAUGAUUUGGUGGACAAGGUGGGUCUUGUGAUAGGGAAGCUUAGCUCUGUUUUAGAUUGUGGAUUUGUGUUUGAGAGAGCAUGCUCGGUUCUGGGGACCAGAGAUGAUAAAAGGAAGCCAUCCAAGUCAAAAUCUCAGUCAUCGGAGUCGUAUUCUCUGUCGAUUGAUCGUGAUAGUAAACAAUCGCUGUAGUGCAUUCCUGGUUUAGACUUUGGUUUAGUUUUGGUUAUUUUGUAAACAAUUUUUAUAUAUAAAAUUUAAAAUAUUUUUAUUUAUAUUUUUUUAGUUUUUUUAAUAAUCUAUAAUAGCGAUUAUUACGUGCGAUUAUAAGAAAUACAAUUGCACAACUAAUGAAACGCUUUCAAAGCAUAUAUAAAACGCUAUCUAAAGUGCUCGAGAAAAGAUUGCGGGGGAAGAUACAACGUUUGCCAUAACGCUGUGCUAUUUUGCAAUAGUAUUUUCCUCAUGCUAUAUAUGAGACAUGUUUUUGUAGUGAGAGUGUUACUUGUUCAAACUUUGAGAUGCAAGCGUAAUGUGAUGUAGCAAACGAUGCUACUUGUAGCUAGUUUCUUGUGUUCUUACUUGUUCCUUUUGAAUUUUGGCAGGCAUUGAUUACAUUGAAGAAGGGCUUUCAGCUUUUGAUAUAUGGUUGCAAAGGAAAGGCAAAGUUUUAUCCUUUUAGAUUGUCUAGUCGUUUUCUGCUGUAUCUGAGAAAAGUAUUCUCGUUGGUGUUAGUUUUGCAGGAUGAUAAGCCUUUGAUCUUGAUAUCUAGUAGCAGCGAAAAGAGUAAGUUAGCUUCUGUAUCUAAAGUUGUACCUGGAAAAAGAACUGUAAGAAGACAUUUUUCAUUUUCUUAUGAAAGUUUGUUCUUUUUGGAUCUUGUUCUGAAAUAUAUGGUUUAAAUAUUGAAUCUUUCAAAGCUGUCUUCUUUCAGAUUUGAUCUUUUGUAUGAGACAAUCUAAAUUUCUAUGUCGUUUAUGAGAGAAUCUAAACUUCUAUGUCGUUUAACAAAUUGCAUCCAUCCUUCUAUUUAAAAAAAAAAAAAUUUGCAGGUCUUGCAAAUCUCUUAGUUACAGGUUAGAUCUCGAUCCAGAGCUUGGUUUUGUGUAGCCGCUAUGUCUAUGUUGUGUCCCUUUACUGUUCUUUUCUGCAAGUCACAAAAAUGGUUUGAUAGUGAUAUUGAAGAGUCUUCAUACCUGUCUUAGGGAAUCAAUGUGAAUCAAAAUAGGAUUUUGAGUUAUUGAGUAAUGAACUUUGCAUUGAGGUCUUGUGGGUUUGAUUGUUUUGUGUUCUGUAGUUACUUUGGUUUAAGGAAAUGUGCGGGGCAAAUUACAAUCAAGUAUGGAGAUACCUGUUUUGCGGACUCCCAGCAAACGGAAUCAAACCACAGCUCCAUCAACAGCCACGACAAGAAGCAGAUGAUGAUCAAGGAAGUGAUGUGGAGGAGAUCACACGAGUAGAGUUCAGACUCUCCAUGGGAUACUUUAUACGUGUUGAGGAAGCGGAAGAAGACAUCGAUCCUAUGUUCCGGAGAGUUGUCCAAAAACUCAAAGACAAUGCACGCCCAAAACGAGAACAAGGAGAGUCCUCACGAGGCAAGUCUCGUCGCCGAGACUAAGGCAUUGUACCAACACUUUUCAUGUGAGAUAGAGAUCAAAAUAAAUUGAGAUGUUUGCUUGUAGUUGUUUCUUCUCACUUUAUUUUUUACUAGUGAUUACAUUUAUGAUUUUCCUUUGACGUUGAAUGAAAACUUCGAGAACAAGGGAACUGGAAUAUACCCAAUUUUUAUAUAUCAAAAUUUUAAAAUAUUUUUAUUUUUUAAUUUUUUAAUAAUGAUAUAAUAGCAAUUAUUAUAUGCUAUUAUAAGAUAUACAAUUGCAUAACAAAAUAAACGCUAUUGAAUGAAUAAUUUCAUAUAGCACCUAAAAACCGCUAUAUAAAGUGUCGAAGAAAAGAUAACGGAGGCAGACACAACACACUUAAAAACGCUAUGUAUCAAUACAAUAUUAAAAUGGAUAUAUGAGGAGUAGAGAGGGUGUCCACGUCGGAUAAUAAAAUCAACCAAUCAGGAGAUCCCGUUUUGACACGUGAGCAAACUCUCUCCUGCAUUUUGUUCAUUUACGGUAUGUAUUAUUUGGGCUUUCUAAAUAUUGAAUUGUGUGGGUUUGUAUAAUAUUUAUAUUUGGGCCCUCGGUUAGUAUGGCCCAGAGUUAGACGUAGAAAACCUUUCUAUAUUGUCUUCAUCGCCGCUUUCCUUUGAACCCUAAUCACAGUUCUUCGUCGAACUGCAGAUCUUUGUAACGGCUUCACCUUCGUGCCAUUAAUCACAGUUAAUUCGAUCUCCACUACGACUGUUUACUUCAGAAAGUUCUAACUCUUCAGAUUCUUCGGGAUUAUGAACCUAUAAAUAAACGUCUCUGGCUUGAUGGUCCUCACAGAUUCAUCGCUCCUUCCAGCUCAUAACUCAUACAAAGUCCUGCAAGAACGAUGGCUGCUUCCCAUAUCUCCCUUUCCGACUUGAAGACAAGAUGUUGUACUCGAACCAUUGUCACACGCUUGCUUACUCUGAUUUUGGGAAGCAAGGAAUGUUUAGAAGGAGAAUACAAUUCUGAGACUGUUUAUAACGUCUCACCAGAUUCACCUGAAGGGGAAUCCACCGAAAAAGGGUCGGAAUGCAAAGUCCUUUAAGUAGCAGAUAUGAGAAACUAUGCCAAAGUGACAUACGCUUUGUCUUUUGUCGCUCAGUUUAUGCUAGGACAGUUGGUCCACUAUCUAAUUUAAAAUUCAUUUGUGUUUGUUUCUAUUUGCUAGCUGUUUGAAGUUUUUAAUAUUACUCUUUUCUUAUUUUAUAAUGAACCCACUUUUAUGGAAUACAUGACUUGAUACGUAUAUGAAACAUAUAUUAAAAUCAUGCAGUGUUCUGUCCUCAUUAUUAGUCAACUAAAGGCACUCAAACAUAGCAGUAUAGCGAGAAUCAUAUCAAACCUUGAAGACUCGAGACCUGAGCAAAAUUAUGGUUAAUAAAAGAAGAAUAAUAGCUACAAAAAGUCAGUAAAAUUAUGGUUAAUACAUUGAUAUUAAUACACUAAUUGUCACCAAACGAGUCUGUUAACCCCUUUACCUUUCGCCCCCGUCAGUAGGUAUGUUAUGCAAUGAUCUGAAGCUAUAUAAAAAGGUAAAUUGUAAUUAGCAAAAAAGGAUGCGUGACAUUAUAAAUGAGAAUAUUUUAAAAGCAGUUUUUAAAUUUUUGUAGUACGUUAAAAAAAACAUUUUAAAACACCAUAUUCAAAUUGAAAAUACAUAGUUUCCUUUCAUUGAAAAAAAUUAAACUAUUAUCUGUAGUAAGAACCCAUAAGAAUUAAAAAAUAUACUAAUAAGAAUUUAUUAUUACAAUAAAUUUUGUGGGAAAAGUUAUACAGUUAAAUUAUACUGAAAUUAUGUUUAAAAAUAUAUAUUUGAAGGAAUCUUUAAAGAAAUAAUAUUUAAAUUAAUAAAGCCCAAGCUUAAAUAAACUUUUAUCAUUUAUUAGUUUUUAUAUUAAAUAAAUUAAAAUUUUGAGUCAUAAAUUUACAUACAUAAUUAUGAUAGAUAUUUGAUGGCCAAUUAUGAUAUAUUUUUUUGUUAUAAAGAGAUAAAAUUCUUCUAUAUUUUUUUUUUGAAACACAGAUUCUUCUAUGUUACAAUGUGGUUUUCGAUAUAAUAUUAAUUUCACAUUUACAUACAAAAAGAGUAAUGACUAUUUAUUAAAUAAAUAUGUUGGAUAAAUUAUCGAGAUAUAAAUAAAAUACAAUAUAAAAAUACAUAUGAUUAAUAAAUAAUCAAAUUAAAUAUAAUUAUAUUUAUAUUUAUUUUAGAAUAUAUACUCCGCGCGUAGCGCGGAAAAAAGAUCUAGUAACUGUAAUAGCGUUUUACAGACGCUAUAUAUGACCAUUUUUCUUGUAGUCCUGUUUAGUUUUGUCUAGUUAUAAUGGGAUUUAAGUAAAAGCGUCGAACAAUAACCUGAAUGUUUCGAUUUAUUUGGAUGUUUAUUCAUCAAAGAUACAGUGAACACAGCAAAAUGAUUCCAACCUGUCUCCAAAAGCUGUUAACCUAAAUGAUAAAUUAGUUUAAAUAGGUUUGCCGAUCGAGACAAUAAUACUCACCUGGAAGAAGUUUAUGAUGGUUUGCAGCACAGAGAAACACAGAGAGAUGGUUGCAUAUUUCACACCCUUGUCGAUAGAAUAAAAUAUACCUAUGAUAGGUAUAGACAAAUAAGAAAAAUAGUCAGCUUUCCUAAACCGUCAAGGAGUCUUCGCACGGGUACAAUUACAAGAACAACGGCCACAUGCAACAUCAGCUUGCAAACAAGGAACAUCGGACUAAUGCUAGGCCUACUCAAUCAUUGGUUGCCUACAAGGAUCACAAUGCUAAACGCUUUAGCGGCUCGAGGUAUGACAGUAGUGAAAGGAAAUACGAAUUGGAGGCUCCUCGUGCGAAUUACAAAGGCCAUGCUGAUAGGAUCAUACGUAGUCGGGAUGACUCUUCUCGGAGCACCCGUUAUGGUGGUUCGCGAGUUGGUACAGGUCCUUACGACCGUCACAACAGAUUAACCUAGAGGGAAAAGAAAACAAAGAGUUGUCAUGGAAAUGAUUCUGUACGUGAUCAUGUGGAAAGAGCAAUUGGUGAUCGACAUGCUGUUUCUUAUAUAUGGACAUGCAACGUCGGUUAGCUACAAAGACUCACCACCUCAAGAGCGUAAGAGCUCUGAGAAAAAGAAUACGGGCGAGGCUAAUAAUACAAGAAGACUAGCCAGUGCUAUUGUUACACCAUCUCGGAGUGAUCACGGAAUGGAUGAGAACGUAACUAAACGCUCAAAAGGGGCUCCUCGGUCUCUAGUGUUUAACACAUUGACUGAGCAAGACCCUAAACCUGUUGCGGAAGAUGAUCAGUUUAUUGAAGCACUGAAUGAUAUGGAUAUUGCGGAUCAGCCAGAUGGUGGGUUGAUGGAUUGUGAAAUGCAAAAUGAUGAUUUAAUGGGUUUGUAACUUGCGGAGAUGGAGGAUAAGGCCGGCCAUGGUGUUGAACACAAGUCCCAAAAAUCUGCUGCUAAAGCGUCGAGGAGUAGCAAGCAUGGUUCCAAAUCGAGUGCUCCUUUGGGCAUUCAGACAAAGAAAUUUGAGAUCCUUCUUCGAGGAUCUCCACAGAAGAGAUCAUCUUCGUCUCACGUAGCUCGUACGGCUGGUGGAUCUGGAAAUUCAAGAUGCCACCUCCCCAUCUCGAAGAAACAAAAAACAGGUUCGUCCAAGAGUGAUGGUUCGAUGGGGUCCAAAAAUCCAUCCCACCUUUAUCAAUGAGGACGCUCAGUUAGAACUGUCGAGGGAUUGGAAACGACUUCACAGUUCGACGCCAUACGGAGAUGUGUCAAAAACAUCGCCCAUGACUUGUGUUUCUUUUUGAGACGAAGAACAUGAGGCUGCUGUUGCAAAACAUUCAGGCCGACUUAAGAUUUGAUCAUUUGUUUCCCGUUGAGCCGCUUGGUCUUAGCGGAGGUUUAGCUCUUUUAUUUAUGGAUGAAUUUCAAGCUAAUGUUUUAUUUUCGAAUAACAGAAUGAUUGACAUUGAGGCAGUCAUUGAUGGAAUAAAAGUCUUUAUGACAUUUGUUUAUGGAAACCAUGUCUUAGAACGUAGAGAACAUGUUUGGGAACGUCUUACGCGUUUCUCAACAACACAAAAUGGACCUUGGUUCAUGAUAGGUUAUUUUAAUGAAAUUACUGAUCAUAGCGAGAAAGAGGGAGGCAGAAAGCGUUCUGACAGCUCUUUCUUGCCCUUCAAGCAUAUGCUAAGUGACUGUGGUAUGCUAGAAUUUCCAUUUACUGGGAAUAAGCUUUCUUGGGUUGGAAAAAGAUCAGGAGGGACAACUGUUAAAUGCAGAUUGGAUAGAGCAGUGGUUAAUAAGGAUUGGCAUGAAAAGUUUCCUCAUUCAGCUGUCAAGUAUCUCAGGCUUUGGGGAUCGGAUCAUGGUCCGGUCCUAGCGGAUAUUCUCACAAAACCAGUGAGGAAAAAAAAAGAAGUUUAAAUUUGAUAAACGUUGGUUGGACAACGAGGAGCUAAGGCAAGUCAUUCUGGAAGAAUGGAAGUCAGAGGAUCUGCCUCCUGAAGCGAAUAUAAUGGAACAUAUUGCUAGUUGUCGGAAAGCUUUGAGCCAAUGGAGGAAAAGCAAUACGAAUUCAGAAAAUCUAGUGGAGGAGCUUAAGGAGAAGGUAGAUGGUCUUUAUUCGAAUGAUGAUGCUAUUUCCGAGGAAAUAUCAGAAGCUCUAAAGGAACUAUCUACUGCUCUUAAGGCAGAAGAGCUGUUUUGGAAACAUAAAAGUAGGGUUCUCUGGUUAAGGGAAGGUGAUACGAAUUCAAAAUACUUCUAUGCGUUAGUGAAGCAAAGGAGAGCAAGGAAUAGGAUAACACAACUCCUAGAUGAAAAUGGAAAUGUGGUGGAGGAUGAGGAAGGAUUAGUAGCCAUUGCUACUAGCUAUUUUAGACAAAUAUUUGAGUCUUCCAACCCAGAGGAUAUAGCUGAUGCGCUCACAAAGGUAUCGACGACGAUUACUGGGGAAAUAAAUGAAGAUCUUACAGCUCCAAUAACUGAAUGGGAGGUCAAAUUAGCGUUGUUUUCUAUGCACCCAUAAAAAGCCCCAUGACAAGAUGGAAUGACAACUCUUUUCUACCAGAAGUUUUGGGAUAUUGUCGAAGAUGACUUAACUCGUAUGGUUAAUCAGUUCCUUUUUGAAGGGACAAUGGCGCAUGGCCUAAAUGACACAAAUAUAUGUUUGAUCCCUAAGAAAACGAAGCCGAAUGAGAUGACAAAGUUUAGACCUAUCAGUCUAUGUAAUGUCAGCUAUAAGAUAAUAUCUAAGGUCUUAUGCCAAAGAUUGAAGAAGAUUCUGCCACAGAGGAUAUCUGAAACCCAGUCAGCCUUUGUUGCUGGAAGACAGAUCACAGAUAAUAUCAUGAUAGCUCAGGAGAUGUUCCACGCAUUGAGAACAAAACCGGGAGGACAAGUUAAGAGAAUUGCCAUAAAAACUGAUAUGAGUAAAACAUACGAUAGGAUGGAAUGGUCAUUCAUUGAGGCAGUCAUGAGAAAGAUGGGAUUUUCAGACAUAUGGAUUGAUUGGAUUAUGAGAUGUAUCACCUUGGUCAAGUAUAAGGUUCUAAUGAAUGGUGAAGCGAGGGGAAAUAUUGUUCCUGGGAGAGGUUUAUGUCAAGGAGAUCUUUGGUCUCCUUUCAUAUUUUUUCUAUACACGGAAGCGCUCGUUAGCCUUCUUAAUCAUGCACAUAAUCAAGUGAAGAUAACAUGGAUGUGAGUCGCACGCGCUAUCCCCUCGGUAUCACACCUUCUCUUUGCUGAUGAUAGCUUUUUCUUCUUUAAGGCGGAGCCUCGUGAAUGUGAAGAAGUUAUGAAAGUAGUCAGAAAAUAUGGGAAAGCAUCAGGCCAAUGUAUCAAUUUUGAUAAAGUGUAAUUUAUUUGCUUUUUUAAAAGAAAAGCUAUUACACAGAGUGAAUGGUUGGACUGGUAGAUGGCUAUCUAAGGGAGGAAAGGAAGUUUUAAUUAAAUCUAUCUGCUCUUCCGACUUAUGUCAUGUCCAGCUUCCUGCUUCCUUUGGAGAUAUGUGAGAACCUAGCAAGUGUCAUUGCACAAUUCUGAUGGAGCUCGAAUCCACCAAAAAGAGGAAUCCACUGGGCAAAAUGAGAAAAAAUGUGUGCACCUCGAGAGGAGGGAGGAAUUAGUUUCCGAAUGAUCCAUGAAUUCAAUCUAGCUCUUUUAGCUAAACAGCUUUGGCGUCUUUUUCAAUUUCCAGACUCAUUAGUGGCGAGAGUUCUUCAGGAGAAAUAUUACAGUCUGAGUUCGCCAUUGCGAACUGGCGUAGUGGAUACCCCAUCGUAUGUAUUGAUGAGUAUUAUAGCUGCGAGAAAGCUACUACUUUUGGGUAUCAGAAGCAAAGUGCACUCAGGAUAUGAAGUUAAUGUGUGGGAGGAUCCUUGGAUUCCAUCGACGCCAGCAAGACCGGCUCGCUCUCGGGUACUAGUAGUACACCCAAAGAUGACCGUCAGCACUCUUAUUAAUUUCGAAUCAAAGGAGUGGGAUGCAAGACUAUUGGAACAAUAUGUGGAUCAAAAGGAUAUACUGAUGAUUUAGAGUUUUGGCCAUAAGCCCUACUCAUCGACGUGAUACAUUUUGCUGGAGUUACACUAAAAAUGGUCAAUAUACUGUCAAGUCUGGAUAUUGGGUUGCUUCAAAUUUGAUGAGAACAGACGAGGAUUUAGAAGUUCUACAACCCAGUAUAACGAAACUUCAAGCUUUUGCUUGGACCGUGAAUGCACCACAAAAAAAUUUGCCAUCUUAUAUGUCAAUUAAUCUCAGGACAAGUAGCGGUAACAAGGAAUCUGGUACGCCGCAAUAUGCGAUGUGAUAAUUACUGCCCAAGAUGUGGAGAGCCAGAAGAAACUGUUACUCAUGCGAUCUUUGAAUGCCCACCGGCCUUACAAGCAUGAGCAUUAUCAUCAACACCGUCGAGCUCUCAAACUUUUCAUGUACCAAGGUUUUACGCGAAUAUGGACUACCUUUUUUGGAGGAAGAAUAAUAUUAUGAAGCGAGAAGAAGAUAGAGACCCUUAUCCUUGAAUAAUUUGGUACAUCUGGAAAGCCAGGAAUGAUAAGUUGUUCAGAGGCAUAGACAGAGACCCAUUGGAACUAGUCAGGUAUGCAGAGAGUGAGUGCUAAGCUUGGUAUAAUGCGAAGGAAACUAUACAUGCUCCUCCACAGGGACAAUUUUCUGAAGAAACAUUGGCCUUAAGCUUGGGUAAUAUUUGUAUAGUGGAUGGUUCAUGGACCUCCACAGCUCAGUUUAGUGGAAUGGGAUGGGUCUGGAAGGAUAGCAUAGGGAAGAUCCAACUUAUGGGGACAAAGAACUUAAGGAGGCGUGAGACAGCGUUACACUCGGAACUGGAAGCGCUAAAAUGGGCAAUGGAGAGUAUGAUACAACACUCAACCUGUAAGAGAUUUAGGACGGAUUGCAAGAACUUGAUUGCAAUGAUAGAAGAGCCACAAGCUUAGCCCAAUUUAUCAACUGAGCUGGAAAUAUUCAAACUCUUAGGUUGUGUUUUUUGGACUUCAAGAUCAGUUACUUCCCAAUGACGCAAAAUGAGAUUGCAGAUUCGCUAGCUAGGAAUGCACGUUCUUUUCAUAGAUCUUUAUGUUUUAUUGGUUGUUCUAUUCCGGUCUGGCUACCCAGACCACCUCAAGUUUGAGUAAUAGAAUAGCCGUUUGCUGCCACAAAAAAAAAAGAUAUAGAUUAAGAACAUUUGAAGUGUAUUAAUAUAUCCACCCGAGAACAAAAUGUCAUUUACCACUGAUGGACACCAAUUUCAAAAACAUUGCUACGGAUCUCUUUCUUACAUAUUUCUGAAAAUUUUCCAAUAUUCCAUGUAUAUGUCCCAUAUAAUUCCAGCGUGGGAUAGGUAUAAAAAUUAUUAAAAAAAAAAACAAAUUUGAAUAAAAACGGACCAUGAAAACAUAGAGUAGGACAUAGCAAGAAAAAGGAGUAUUUUGAGAUUAAAACAAUUAAAGAACGAAGUGCAAAUGAAAAGAAAAAUACUCAAACGCAUACCAGAAUCUUCAUUAGUAAUCUCAGACAUUUCCCUGGAGUGUUUCGUCUCCUUCAAACUAAAAAAAGGUUAGGGACAAGGCCGUUAAAACACGAAAAAGUGCUUGUCUAUCAACUAACGAAAGAUAAGAGAGACAAGGGAAGCAAAACCUGGAAGAAAAAGCAGAGAGGAGCAAUUGUUUCGGAACGAUUAAGAACGAAUAAUGGGGAGUAAUACUCUUAAAUCGGUUAUGGAAGAUAUACAAAAUUAUUAUAAUAUACGAUUAAAGAUCUUCCAAACAAACAAAAAAAGUAAAAAAAAAGUCAAGAAAGAGUGAGAAUAGUCAAUUGACUCAAUUCCUCUUUAUUUCUUAAAUUUGAUAUCAUUUAUAAGGAAUAUUUUUUUUAAUGUUCUUAGUCAUUCAUUUAAUUUAAGGAAUUAUAUAGGGUUCAAAUGGUGACCAAAUGAAUGAAUUGGAAUAGUCAUUUCCUCUUUAUUUCUUAAAUUUGAUACUAUUUAUGAAUAAUUUUUUUUAAUGUUAUAUUUAAUUUCUUUAUCAUUCCUCUUUAUUUCUCUCUUAAACUAAAAGGAACGAGAAAGAAUAUUAAGGAAAAAUAUUUAUAAAUAAAGAUCACAUGCUGCUGAACAUUCUUCAUUAUUUUUAAAAAUAUUUUUAUUCAUAAAUAUCUUUAUUUCAGAACAAGAUCCAGAAAGAACAAACUUUCAUAAGAAAAUGAAGAAUAUCUUCUUACAGUUCUUUUUCCUGGUACAAUUUUAGAUAAAGAAGCUAACUUACGCUUUUCAAAGGCUUAUCAUCCUGCAAAACCAACACCAACGAGAACACUUUCUCAGAUACAGCAGAAAACGACUAGACACUCUAAAAGGAUAAAACUUUGCCUUUCCUUUGCGGCCAUAUAUCAAAAACUGAAAGCUCUUCAUCAAUGUAAUCAAUGCCUGCCAAAAUUCAAAAGGUAAAAGUAAGAACACAAGAAACUAGGUACAAGUAGCAUCGUUUGCUACAUCACAUUACACUUGCAUCUCAAAGUUUGAACAAGUAACACUCUCAAAGUCUUCAACUUUGAGCUUCAUACAAACUUUGUGGAAACAAAAUUUCUGCUCCAUAGACAUCGUAGUGAAGACAAGAGAUAGAAAGAGACGAACUUGUUCAACCUUGUGGUCAGCAGCAUUAUAGGUCACAAGAUCUUCAGUGUAAUCAAUGCGCCAAAUGAAACACUCGCGUAAAAACACAAUAAACUAUCUACAAAGACAUAGAUUCAAACAAGCUUCGUAUUUUGUUUGAGGAGAUCAAUAGCCAGAGAGAACUGAAGAGACUAUAUCAGGAAAUUAAUAAGAGAAUCAACAAACAAGGCAAAUCAUUGGAGACCACAAAAUCAACAACACUUAUGAAGAAUCAUGCUUUAAGGGAGCGAGAGAGAUUACAGGAGCACUAGGAGAAGAUACAGAGACAUGAGCAGCUGGAGAUGUUGAAUCGGAGGAGAUAUACAAGAGAGGAGAGAUUUCGAAGUGGAGUGGUUCUAAGUGUAGGCUUUUCGCUUUCUUAAAAGAUAAGCUGCUGCACAGAGUGAAUGGAUGGACUGGUAGAUGGCUAUCUAAAGGAGGAAAGGAGGUGCUAAUUAAAUCCAUUUUGCUGGCCCUUCCGACUUAUGUCAUGUCCAGCUUCCUGCUUCCUUUGGAGAUAUGUGAGAACCUAGCAAGUGUCAUUGCACAAUUCUGAUGGAGCUCGAAUCCACCAAAAAGAGGAAUCCACUGGGCAAAAUGAGAAAAAAUGUGUGCACCUCGAGAGGAGGGAGGAAUUAGUUUCCGAAUGAUCCAUGAAUUCAAUCUAGCUCUUUUAGCUAAACAGCUUUGGCGUCUUUUUCAAUUUCCAGACUCAUUAGUGGCGAGAGUUCUUCAGGAGAAAUAUUACAGUCUGAGUUCGCCAUUGCGAACUGGCGUAGUGGAUACCCCAUCGUAUGUAUUGAUGAGUAUUAUAGCUGCGAGAAAGCUACUACUUUUGGGUAUCAGAAGCAAAGUGCACUCAGGAUAUGAAGUUAAUGUGUGGGAGGAUCCUUGGAUUCCAUCGACGCCAGCAAGACCGGCUCGCUCUCGGGUACUAGUAGUACACCCAAAGAUGACCGUCAGCACUCUUAUUAAUUUCGAAUCAAAGGAGUGGGAUGCAAGACUAUUGGAACAAUAUGUGGAUCAAAAGGAUAUACUGAUGAUUUAGAGUUUUGGCCAUAAGCCCUACUCAUCGACGUGAUACAUUUUGCUGGAGUUACACUAAAAAUGGUCAAUAUACUGUCAAGUCUGGAUAUUGGGUUGCUUCAAAUUUGAUGAGAACAGACGAGGAUUUAGAAGUUCUACAACCCAGUAUAACGAAACUUCAAGCUUUUGCUUGGACCGUGAAUGCACCACAAAAAAAUUUGCCAUCUUAUAUGUCAAUUAAUCUCAGGACAAGUAGCGGUAACAAGGAAUCUGGUACGCCGCAAUAUGCGAUGUGAUAAUUACUGCCCAAGAUGUGGAGAGCCAGAAGAAACUGUUACUCAUGCGAUCUUUGAAUGCCCACCGGCCUUACAAGCAUGAGCAUUAUCAUCAACACCGUCGAGCUCUCAAACUUUUCAUGUACCAAGGUUUUACGCGAAUAUGGACUACCUUUUUUGGAGGAAGAAUAAUAUUAUGAAGCGAGAAGAAGAUAGAGACCCUUAUCCUUGAAUAAUUUGGUACAUCUGGAAAGCCAGGAAUGAUAAGUUGUUCAGAGGCAUAGACAGAGACCCAUUGGAACUAGUCAGGUAUGCAGAGAGUGAGUGCUAAGCUUGGUAUAAUGCGAAGGAAACUAUACAUGCUCCUCCACAGGGACAAUUUUCUGAAGAAACAUUGGCCUUAAGCUUGGGUAAUAUUUGUAUAGUGGAUGGUUCAUGGACCUCCACAGCUCAGUUUAGUGGAAUGGGAUGGGUCUGGAAGGAUAGCAUAGGGAAGAUCCAACUUAUGGGGACAAAGAACUUAAGGAGGCGUGAGACAGCGUUACACUCGGAACUGGAAGCGCUAAAAUGGGCAAUGGAGAGUAUGAUACAACACUCAACCUGUAAGAGAUUUAGGACGGAUUGCAAGAACUUGAUUGCAAUGAUAGAAGAGCCACAAGCUUAGCCCAAUUUAUCAACUGAGCUGGAAAUAUUCAAACUCUUAGGUUGUGUUUUUUGGACUUCAAGAUCAGUUACUUCCCAAUGACGCAAAAUGAGAUUGCAGAUUCGCUAGCUAGGAAUGCACGUUCUUUUCAUAGAUCUUUAUGUUUUAUUGGUUGUUCUAUUCCGGUCUGGCUACCCAGACCACCUCAAGUUUGAGUAAUAGAAUAGCCGUUUGCUGCCACAAAAAAAAAAGAUAUAGAUUAAGAACAUUUGAAGUGUAUUAAUAUAUCCACCCGAGAACAAAAUGUCAUUUACCACUGAUGGACACCAAUUUCAAAAACAUUGCUACGGAUCUCUUUCUUACAUAUUUCUGAAAAUUUUCCAAUAUUCCAUGUAUAUGUCCCAUAUAAUUCCAGCGUGGGAUAGGUAUAAAAAUUAUUAAAAAAAAAAACAAAUUUGAAUAAAAACGGACCAUGAAAACAUAGAGUAGGACAUAGCAAGAAAAAGGAGUAUUUUGAGAUUAAAACAAUUAAAGAACGAAGUGCAAAUGAAAAGAAAAAUACUCAAACGCAUACCAGAAUCUUCAUUAGUAAUCUCAGACAUUUCCCUGGAGUGUUUCGUCUCCUUCAAACUAAAAAAAGGUUAGGGACAAGGCCGUUAAAACACGAAAAAGUGCUUGUCUAUCAACUAACGAAAGAUAAGAGAGACAAGGGAAGCAAAACCUGGAAGAAAAAGCAGAGAGGAGCAAUUGUUUCGGAACGAUUAAGAACGAAUAAUGGGGAGUAAUACUCUUAAAUCGGUUAUGGAAGAUAUACAAAAUUAUUAUAAUAUACGAUUAAAGAUCUUCCAAACAAACAAAAAAAGUAAAAAAAAAGUCAAGAAAGAGUGAGAAUAGUCAAUUGACUCAAUUCCUCUUUAUUUCUUAAAUUUGAUAUCAUUUAUAAGGAAUAUUUUUUUUAAUGUUCUUAGUCAUUCAUUUAAUUUAAGGAAUUAUAUAGGGUUCAAAUGGUGACCAAAUGAAUGAAUUGGAAUAGUCAUUUCCUCUUUAUUUCUUAAAUUUGAUACUAUUUAUGAAUAAUUUUUUUUAAUGUUAUAUUUAAUUUCUUUAUCAUUCCUCUUUAUUUCUCUCUUAAACUAAAAGGAACGAGAAAGAAUAUUAAGGAAAAAUAUUUAUAAAUAAAGAUCACAUGCUGCUGAACAUUCUUCAUUAUUUUUAAAAAUAUUUUUAUUCAUAAAUAUCUUUAUUUCAGAACAAGAUCCAGAAAGAACAAACUUUCAUAAGAAAAUGAAGAAUAUCUUCUUACAGUUCUUUUUCCUGGUACAAUUUUAGAUAAAGAAGCUAACUUACGCUUUUCAAAGGCUUAUCAUCCUGCAAAACCAACACCAACGAGAACACUUUCUCAGAUACAGCAGAAAACGACUAGACACUCUAAAAGGAUAAAACUUUGCCUUUCCUUUGCGGCCAUAUAUCAAAAACUGAAAGCUCUUCAUCAAUGUAAUCAAUGCCUGCCAAAAUUCAAAAGGUAAAAGUAAGAACACAAGAAACUAGGUACAAGUAGCAUCGUUUGCUACAUCACAUUACACUUGCAUCUCAAAGUUUGAACAAGUAACACUCUCAAAGUCUUCAACUUUGAGCUUCAUACAAACUUUGUGGAAACAAAAUUUCUGCUCCAUAGACAUCGUAGUGAAGACGAGAGAUAGAAAGAGACGAACUUGUUCAACCUUGUGGUCAGCAGCAUUAUAGGUCACAAGAUCUUCAGUGUAAUCAAUGCGCCAAAUGAAACACUCGCGUAAAAACACAAUAAACUAUCUACAAAGACAUAGAUUCAAACAAGCUUCGUAUUUUGUUUGAGGAGAUCAAUAGCCAGAGAGAACUGAAGAGACUAUAUCAGGAAAUUAAUAAGAGAAUCAACAAACAAGGCAAAUCAUUGGAGACCACAAAAUCAACAACACUUAUGAAGAAUCAUGCUUUAAGGGAGCGAGAGAGAUUACAGGAGCACUAGGAGAAGAUACAGAGACAUGAGCAGCUGGAGAUGUUGAAUCGGAGGAGAUAUACAAGAGAGGAGAGAUUUCGAAGUGGAAAAUCAAAGAAAUGAUUUACCGUAGCUGUGAGAGAGGGGAGAGUUCGGAAUUGGAGCCGGCUACAACAAAGAUUCUUGGUGUUGAUUUCUCCUCCGUUGUUUUUAAAUUAGGAUUGAGAAAAUGAAAGAAGAAGAAUAUGAAAAUGGUUGAGAAAAAAAAGAUUAAGAAAAUGAAAGAAUUAAGAAAAUUUUGUAUCGAGAGAAGAAGAAUAUGAAAGAAUUAAGAAAAUUUUGGUUGUGAAUUUCGAGAGUUUGGGAGGGAGAGUGAAAUAAUUUUUGGUAAGUCUUAGGCGGGAAAUGAAAUAAUUUUUUGGCUUAGAUUAAACACAACGUUUUAACGAUACAUAUGCUAUCUAAAACAAAGUUUUAGAGUCCGUAAAAAACAAAGAUAGCAUUUGCAUUUUGAAACGCUAUCUUAAACUGCGUGUUAUAUCAAUUAUAGCAUUUACGUAAAAAUGCUAUCUUCAUGCGCUAUCUUUACUCACUUCCCUUGCAGUGCAGGUUUCUUGCAGAUACGUUACACAAUUUUUAUAAGAGAGAGCAUGAUUGGGGAUGGAAAAAGUUUAUAGAGUUACCUAGAUUACUGGAUGGUUUCAUAGACGACUCUGGCUCUCUUAUAAUUAAGGCUCAAGUACAGGUCAUUAGGCACAUCUGAGAAGAUUUUGAGUAUAUCUAGAGUGAUUCCAUUUUUUCAUGGUACCAUUAAAACACAACCAACUUAUCUUUAAAGUUGAUCCUUGCAGAAAGAGUGUGAACGGACCUUUUCCCUGCCUUGAUAGUCAGUACAGAAAGGAACUUCUUAGGGUUUAUUUUACAGUUGUAAAUCAGAUUUUUUUGAGGUUUAUGAAAGAAAAACGAAACAAGUUGAUGGAGGACAAGACAAGAUGGACAAAGUACGUUUUUUCAUGUUUGUUAAUUAAUUCUUGAUAAAUUUUCUCAAAAAGUUUUAAGUAGAUUAAUUGCAUCAUAUAUAACAAAGAAUGUAUCCUGUUAAUACCUUGGUACGCAGAAUAUGCGCAUUCUGGUUAGGGAUGGACCAAAAAUCAAGGCGAGCGAUAUCUCGAGAGAAAAUGUAUGUGAUUCAGAAACUAGUUGUGAAGCACUUUUUCAUCAACAAAAACGUUACAUCCCCUUUGGUGAUGGAUUUCUUGUUUAAGGGGUUAAAUUCUCUUGUUUUGGAUACCAACAAGGAAAAAAUAAUACUCACAAUCUCAAAACAAAUUGUGAGGCUCCUCAAGGAUGAUUCGAAUGCUUCGGAAAAUACAUUGAAGACUCUUGAAGACGAGCCUAAGAAAGAGAUAGCAUUUGAUGCCAAAGAAUUGGCAGUUCCCAUUGUUAGUGUGGACAAUGAUAUGUUUGUUUUAGCUGAUGAUGCGAUGUUACUCCUGGAGAAAGCUGUUCUUGAGCCAUUUCCAGAUGAAAGGGUUCCUCCAAACCGUAUAGAGGUUAGCUUCACAUCGUUUAUACGGCUCCAUAUCAAUUAAAAAUUAUUUGUAUUGAUGGUCUUAUAUAAUUCUUUAAGGUUGAUUAUGACGAAGAGAGUGAUGAUGAGAAGCUGUUAACUGAAUAUGCUAGACACACUCUGGAGGUAUUUGUUCUUGAUCAUAUCUUCUGCAACAAAAUUGAAAUUGCAUAUAAAGAAGCCAGUGCACUGAAAAUGCAUGAGGAGCAUUCGUGAAAAAGAAGAUCUGAAGAAGAGAAGAGUAAAUUCAACAAAAGUUCGUGAAGAAUAAAGAAGUUUUUGCUUUGAUGGAAAAACUAAGUCUACUAAAUUUAUUGUAGUGUCUGAUUUCUAUAUGCCUUGUUAACAAAUAAUAUGGUUCUGUAUUUUAGUAUUUCUCUAUAUAUAAGCAAAGAUACGAUAAAAUAUGAUGGUUCUUGCUCAAUUUUAUAGACUCUCUCCAUUUUCAGAAAUAUUUUUUUCAAAUAUUAAAUUAUUAAUGUUUUAAUGCAAUUUUAUUAGUUAAUAAUGGUAAAUUGUAAACUUUAAAAAAUAAUUGAAUAUAUUGGGUUAUAAGUAAUUAAAAUUGUUAAUUAUAGAAAAUUUUCACUAGAAUCAACUUUUAAUAAAUGCAAGAAUAUGAAAAAAAUCUAUAAAUCUAUAAAUUUGAAAUAGAAAAUAGUUUGUUAGAUCCUUCAUUGCUGACAAAAACUCAUUAGAAACAAAUGAAGCUUUUUACACUCCCUAUGUUUCAAAAUGUAUUAGUUUACUUAAAUGCACUCAUAUUAAGAAUGUGGUUACUUGUUAAAAGCAUCAUUUAAUAUAUAAUUUCAACCAAUUAUAAAAAAUACAUAAUUUUAUUGAUCGCAUAAUAUUAAAUAAAUAUAAAUGUUGUAUUAAAAUUUUAAAAUUACAUACUGUGGAACAUUUUUGUAAAAUUAGUUAUAUUAUAAAAUAGAGAGAGUAUCACUGUCACAAUUAUAUUUGUUACCCUUUUGGCGAAAUGAUAAAAAUACGAUACAAAACAGCUUUUGAGUCAUAAAUAAGAAUCUAACGCAAUUAUUUAGAUAGUUUUUAAUACAUUAACAAAUUACUAUAUUUUAUUAUUAAAUAUUAAAAAAGUUAUAUAUUAAAUAUUUUCAUUUUUAAAUAAAUAAAUUAUAUAAAUAUUAUUUUAUUAUAAUUUUGGAUUAAAUAAAAUUUCUCAUUAAAUUUUCUCUUGUAAACAUAACACUAAUAUAAAUUUAUUAGUAUAACUAAAUUUAUUAAUUAUAUUAUUUAGUAUAUUAUGUUGAAUGUUUCUGGUUUAGGAUAGAAGUGACAUAUGACAUUUCAUAUUAUUUUCGAUGUAUUUAUAUUUAUAAUAUAUCUAAAUUAUUAAAAUGAUUAAUAACAUUUUAUAUUCAUUUCAAACUAAUAUUGAUAUAUAUUCAAAUAAAAUAUUGAUAUGAUUUGAUAUAUAUGUAAAUAAUGAUACAGGUUAUUACUGUGUUUAUUUUGUUAAAUAAAACUUUAGUCUUAAAAGUUUAAAAUAUAAAUAUAUAUAAUUAAAUUACUAACUUUAUUAUUUGUUAGAAAAUUGUAUUGAAAAAUUAUUUAUGAUUUUAGAAUUCAUGGUUUAAUUGGAUUAAAGGUAAUAUUAAUAAUAAAUAGUGGUAGUCUAUUAUAUUAAGAGGAUGAAAGAUGCGUGAAAUUUCAUAAAAUUUUACAAAAAAAAAUUUAUUGAUAGAGAGAUGAGAAGAGAUAUUUUUUAGUAGAGUAAAUUCAGCUUCGUUGGGUCCAUGUCGAAGAUAGCAGAGCACUAGGGGUGGGCAUUUCGGCUUAACUACGGGUUUGGUUUGGGUUCGGUUUAGUUUGGGUUAUUUGGGUCUAAGAAAACUUGAACCAAAGUCAACCCAAAUUAGUAUGGUUUGGUUUAUGUUCGGUUUGGUUCUGUUUUACUUCGGUUUGGUUUGUGUUAGGUUUGGUUUUAGUUUGAUUUGGUUGGUGUUUGGUUAGGUUUAAUUUGGUUUUCCUUGUAUUUUUCAGUUCAAUCGAGUUGAUUUUUUAGUUUUGUUCAAGUUCAAUUACAAAAAUAUGAUUUAUAAAAACAUAAACAAAUCACCAUUUGAUACUAAAUUUUCCUUCAUAUUUAAAUGUAAAAUCAAACAUCACAAUAAAUAUAUAAAAAAUUAAUUCAUUAAUUUUUUAUUAUUAUCUUCAAACCUAAUAUAUACCUAAUAUAAAUAUCAUAAAUAACUUUCCGUUUUGAUGUUUAUGUAUGAGAUUUAUAUUCUUUUAUUUUAUUUUUAGUAGUAUUUAUUCUAUUCAUUUAAAACUAAAAUGUAUAAAACUAUGUUUAGUUGAUUAGGUUAAAUGGUUAAAUAUAUUAAAUCUUAAUAUUAUUUGUAUAAUUAAUUAAUCUAAUUAAAAACACUUUAGUUUUUCAGUUUGGUUCGGUUUAAAACCAAACCGAACCGAACCAUUGGGGUUGAUAAAAUUUUGAACCAAAUGAAUUAGACAUAUAUUUGGUUUGGUUUGAAUCGGUUUGGGUUCGGUUGGAUCGAUUUGGUUUUGGUUCAGUUUGGUUUUUUUGCCCACUCAGGACAGUAUGCGGAUGGACUAAAUUUCUGGUUAACUUUUUUUUUUUUAAUUAACGUAAUGUAUGGCCUAAAACAUUACCUCAUCAUAUCAAUGUGGCCAGAAUAUGAAAUGUAGUGGAGUUUUUUCGAACCUAGGUUACUUAGCAACCCAAAGUGUGUAGUACGAUGACUUCCGAUCCGAGUUGGUUGAAUCCGAGUUAGUACUUUAUGAUGUGAUAUAAAGGAAAUAACGUAUAUCCUUCCUAACCCACCGCACUUGUUGGGCCUAGCACAAAUCUAGCAUGGGUUUUAUCCGUAGGGAAGAGGCCUCGAACUGAUACGAAAGGACAAAAGUGCAUCUGGAAUCAGUCGUCAAAACCAUUAUAAUUUAUAAACCUAAAUAUACAAAGGCUCCACCACACAUUGACAGUGAGCAAUUUAGAAUAAGAGAGGUUUAGAGAGAUUCUAUAAGAUUUUAUGUUCGAAUAAUGAUUAAUUAUGAUAUGAAUAUCAUCAGUAAUCUCUUGUACUAUGAAGUUUUUGUUUGGCUUAUCACUAAAUCAAACAAGUAUUAUAUUAUCUCCUCUGUAAUUAUUAUCAUUAACAUUAGAGAGUGUGAAUAAGGUGACUCACUAGAAUCUGAUCCAUAUCCUCUUCGCAAAUUUGUUACUAAACAGUUUCUAAACAUAACCAGAAAUUGUUGACCAAAAAAAACAUAACCAGAAACUUUUGGCUUAACCAAGACUUUGAUUUGAUAAAACACGAUUUGUUACUUGUCUAAAAUCAGAAGCAAGAGACUGAAGAAACAGAGAGAGGGUAAGAGAAGCUGCUAGCAUACAGAAAGGAGAGCGGCUGUCCAGGAGCAAGAGGUUGACCGUCUUUAACCAGACAAUCGUAGUAGGAGAGUCGCCUGAAAACUCUAGGGUUAACCAGUUUGACUGAGCUAAACCAGCCACAAGUGACGUUGAUCUCCAUGAUCUUGCAGUCCGAAAGACAUGGUGUUGAAGAUCUCAACUGUGAAGGCAGAAAUUCCGUUUGGAAGUGGAACCGUUGAGCCUUGAAAGACAACAAUAGCCCUGUUCGUUUAUUAGACACGGCGUCAAUAACCUGCGAUCAAAAAUAUCAAAGGCCGCGUCAGUAUUUCAUUAAAAACAGCUUGUUUGAAGAUGUUGCGACUCAAUUAUACACGGAACAAUUGCCGCCACUGGCAGUAACAAAGUCGCUAUUUUUUUACGGCGACCAUUAAAAUGGAUGAAAGAGCUUUAGCGUCAGUUGCGUCAGCAAUUGUCAUGUCGUUAUUUCUAUCCAUCGUAUGUUAUUUUUUAGACGCUCAUCUUUGCCGCGGCGUCUAAGAAACGAACAUGGCUAAUAUCAUCUUUUGAGCAAUCUUGUCUCGAUCCUUUUGUCCCGUCGCAAAUAUCUGAAAUUAUCCCCCGAAGAUGCGUCUUUCACGUUAUUAUAAAUGAAAAGAAAGAUAUAUCUUUGAUAAAUGAAAACAAAGAUAUAUCUUUGAUUACAGUGAAAUAACGUAUGCAUGAAAAAUGUCUAAAAUAAUUUCUCUUUAGGAUUCUUACAACAUAAAAACACGGAUAUUGAUUUUUUAACUGAUAUACACGGAUAUUGAUUUUUUAACUGAUAUGUGAAGCCAACAAUGGCUAGACGAGUUAAUGGAUAUAAACAUUUGUCUGGUAAUCCUCAAAACAUAAAACAUAGACUGGUGUUAUAUGUGAAGGUGAAGCUUACUAUUGUUAGGAAAUGUGAUAAAAUUUUGAAUAGGUCUCUUUGGGGUUUCAUAAAACAUACAAAAAGAGACUCUGAUCUUAAUGGAUAUCGAUAUCAGAUGAAGAAGAAGAAGAUAUGGUGGAGUUAUCAAGCGAUGAAUAGAUAAAUUUUGAAUAGGUCUCUUUGGGGUUUCAUAAAACAUACAAAAAGAGACUCUGAUCUUAAUGGAUAUCUUAAGGCAACCAAGCAGUGUCUGAGUUACCAGGAGAUAGCAUAAGCUUUCUGGAAAGGGCGGUGUGGUUGUCGUAACUAGAAACAAAGUUUCUUGCAUUGAGAAUAAUGCCUCUUCUUUUAUCACUGGAACCUUUCCAAGGCGUUACACUUCACAACAGAUGCAACAGUGACAAAAACCAACGUGGAAGUGGUGUAUAAUGAAAAGGACAUAGACAAAAGAGACUAAGAGGACAUAUAACUGAACUUAAAUGAAGCAAGAAGACACAGCAACGUUCCCAAACCUAUGAAGAUGACACACAUGCACGGUGGGAGAGAGAUAAGUACUUGAAAAGAAACUUAAGAAAGGCAAGGUAUGUGAUUGCAUGCAUGUCUGUUGGUUCCAGAAGGUAACAUAUCUCUUGUUUCACCUCAAAAUCUACCGACUUCGAGAUUCGUAAAACCUCUAUAUAUUAAAAGAAAAACAUUCGACAUUAAUGUAUUCACACUACCUUCGCCAUGUGGCAACUUCUCAAACUAGCUUUACCAAUUUAUUGUAAUGUUCUUUUCUAAAUAAACCUCAAUAAAAUCGCUUUCCUAAUUUAAUACUUCACGGUUUUUUGUCAAUAUAAAACUCAAAUAUAUACAAGGUUCCAUGGGUUAUACAAAGGUUCCACGUAGAAACACAAUUUGCAAGAAGCUAAUUGAUAUUUCUUCUCUUUCAUAAACCUCUCAAAUUCGAUUACACAAUAUACUCCAAUGUUCUUUAUCAAAACUAAAGUCAUAUACAAUUUCGAUUUGCUAAUAUAUUACAUGACACAUUUUAUAAAAACACAACUCAAAUAAUCUUACACUUUAAAGAUGAUUAGUUUAGAGUUCCAUAUCAAAACAACUGAACUCAUAAACAACUUUGAGUCAAUCAGUAAUAUCAUUGCAUACUUUUCUUUUACUCAAUAAUAAUUGAAAUUGGAAUAUAUUUUUUUAAUGCUUCCUUUUCCUUUCACCGUCGACUAAAUUGUAGAGAAAUGAUUUGUCUUAAUAAUUGUUUUUUUAAACUAUUAUCUAGAUUUGAUUUGAUUUUGUAUACAUUUAUAAAUUAUGAUAUGAAACUAUUAGUUCGACAGUCUAAAACUCAUAUAACAUGAAACCAAACAAAUAAUAAUAGUUUUUGGUUUAACACCCAAAAAAACCAAAAACCUUAAGCAUUUUAACUGAACAAACCAAAAUAAAUAUAGAUUUAGAAUAGUAGUGACUAGUGAUAUUUUAGGAGAUCAAAAAUAAAAAAAGCAACCUAAAACUGAACCAAUAUCUAGAUUAAAGAGACCUAAGACCAUCAUUAACACAAGCUUUAAUGACGCCUCUUAAGGCAAAUUAAAAAAAAAAUUAAUAAAAAAAAGAAGAAAAGCAUAGACUCGCCUCUUCCGUAAGGCGUAGAAGGCCCGCCUCUUCGUUGCCACACGUCAAGCGUAGAGACGCUCUCUAUUCGGUUACGAACGCGUUCUCUCUCUCUCUCUCUUUCUCUCUCUCUCUCUCUCUCUCUCUCUCUCUCUCUCUCUCUCUCUCUCUCAAGCUCCCUUGAAAUCUCUCUCGACGAAAGGCGAUUCGGUUCUCCUUCGGUGGCUCUCGUCGGCGCCGUCUUGUUCAGUGGAUUGCAUCGGCGACGUCUCGUUCGGUCGCUCCCAUCGGCGACCUCUCUGUUGCUGGUUCUCCUCGAGGCGACGGAGCUCUCUCUCGGUUCCUCUCCUCAAAUCGAAAGGUAAGCGGUUGUUCUGUUAUUGGUUAUGCAUGUCUUAGAUUAUGCAUCUUCUUGGUAUGAUCAGUUGUUUUUCUUUGUAGUUUGUUGGUUCUGUCUCUCGGUGGGUCUUCUCCUCCAAGAUUUCACUCGGUGGCUCAUCUCAAAUCGAAAGGUAAAGCAGUUCUUCUGUUGAUUUUGCAUGUGAUUGAUUUAGAAUUUGUAUGCUCUGUUGAUUCAAAGAUUUUGAUUGUUGUUUCUGAUGUUUUUGAUUCGGUAUGUUCUGUUUUAAGAUUGAUGGAUGAAGAACAUUUUGUUUGAAUAAGUUUGUUUCAAUUAAGACAGACGGAUCAGGAAUGGUUAAUGCUAUGUAAUAGAUUGAAGUGUAAUAGAUUGAUUAUGCUUGAUUUGUUUGUUGUUUGGCUUUGUGGUUUCUGAAAUAUUUUUUGUUUCUGUCUUUCUGUUUACAGAUAGCAGGAUCAAGGUUCAUCGACCAAAGGUUCAGAGCACAAUUAAGGUUAGUGUCACUCUGUCUUUUGGUUAUGGAAACUAAUUGAUUUAGGUUCUGGUUUGAAUUGAAUCGAGUGUAAUAUAUGUGUUGGUUUGAGUUAGAAAAUGGUUGUGUGAUAAACAGAAGUGAUGGCUAGCUAGAAAAUGGUUGUGUGAUUAAUAGAACUGUAUUUUGUAGAUAAAUGUCAACUCGUUUCUUCUCUGCCAUCUAGGUAGAAGUGAAUGUCGUAGAUAAAUGUGAACUUGUUUGUUUGUUGUCAUCAAUGCAUCUGAAACUUCCUUUCUUCUCUUCUUUCUCUGCCAUCUAUAAACAGAAAUUCCUCCUUCACUUUCUUAUCAUUUCUCUCAUCGUUCUUCAUCAUUCUCCUCUCUAUGGAUUCUCAAAGGCAAUCUUCUAGGUUUUUAGACUUACUAAACAGUCAAGUACCUAACAAUGAAAACCCAUCUCAGUUACUGAGUUUUUCACCUAGUCCAGCCAAUGAAAACCCAUCUCAGUUACUGAGUUUUUCACCUAGUCCAGCCGUUGGAGGAUCUUCUUCACGUGCACAAACUGGUGAGGAGCGUAAGCAAAGGUAUAAGUGGUCAACAACUGAAGACCUGGUCCUCAUCAGUUCAUGGCUGAACACCUCCAAGGAUCCAGUAGUUGGGAAUGAGCAAAGGGCAGGAACGUUUUGGAAGAGGAUUACCUCUUAUUAUAAUGCAAGUCCGAAGGUGGUUGGUUUCACUAAGAGAGAGCCAAGCCACUGUAAGCAAAGGUGGGGAAAGAUAAAUGAAGGUGUCUGCAAGUUUGUGGGGUCAUAUGACGCUGCAUCCAAACAGAAGAGCAGUGGCCAAAAUGAAGAUGAUGUUUUGAAGGCUGCACAUGAAAUUUUUUUCAACGAUUACACGGUUAAGUUCACAUUGGAGCAUGCCUGGCGGGAGCUUAGGAAUGAUCAGAAAUGGUGUGGGACUUAUGGAAGUAGUCAACAAAGCUCUGGUGCAAAAAGAAAGAGGGUGGGGGAACAACAAUCUUUUCAGUCAUCAGCAUCUAUGCCGAGUGUCAAUGGAGAGGAUUCUUCAACAGCAGCUAGGCCUAUUGGCGUUAAGGCAGCAAAAGCCAACAAGGGUAAAAGGUCAGUGGGAGAAGAAGAGAAGAUUCUGCAAGGGUUUCAGUAAAUGUGGGAGCUCAAGCAGAAGGACUUGCAAGAACAGACCCAGUUACUGAAUAUGAAGGAUAAGGUUAACAAGUCCAAACUGCUUGACAGUUUGCUUGCGAGAACAGAGCCACUUACUGAAUUAGAAGUGGCUCUUAAGAACAAACUAAUUACUGAAAUGUUAUCAAUGUAAUCCUUUAAGUUAAAUGUUUUUAUGUAAGAUCUUUCUAGUCAAUGUUAUCAAUGUUGCUGUGAAAUUGAUGUGUUAUAUAUGUAUUGUCUUAUAUAAGUUGAUGUGUUAUCUAAAUUGAUGUGUUAUAUAUGUAUUGUCUUUUCUCAUCCGUUUCUGUUUUUUGGCUUUUCAGGGCAACAAGUCACACACAUACAGAAAUGGAGGCAAGAAAACCAAUUGUCUGUGGCCUCUCAGCAGGAGGCAUCAUACCACCUCUCCCACGAGAAGAUACAGACGAUGAUGUUGAGGAUAUCCCACCAACUGAAGCAGAAGUGGUGGAGAUAUCAGAUGAAGAAGAAGAAGAUAUGGUGGAGUUAUCAAGCGAUGAAUAGAUGAGAAAUAUGGGCUACUUGAUUAGGGUGGAGGAAGAAGAAGAUGACAUUGCACCUGAGUUCAGAAGGAUGGUGCAAAUGAUGCAUGAGGAAGAGAAGAGGCUGAGAGAGGAGAGGUUCAACGUGUUGAAGGCGGGAAUCAAGCUAGAAGAAGGACAAUCCUCUACGGGUGAUGGUAAGAGGAGUUCGUGACCGUCUUUGUCUCACAUGCAUCUGCUUUUUUGUACUGAGUCCGUGACUGUCUUUGUCUUUGUUUCUGCAUUGUCUUUGUUUCACAUGUCUUUGUUUCUUAUGUCACAUGGACUUGUAAGGACUUUUGUACUUUGUCUUUGCUCUCUUUUCAGUUCCCGUGACUGUCUUUGUUGUCUUUUUAUGAAAGUAGAUUUCAAGUAGUAUAAAGCCUUCAAGCAUCUCUCACUCUCUCGUUCACAUAUCACAACCAAACCAAGCAACCAAGCUUUGUUCUCUCUUUCUCUUGUUCCCGUGCAAACCAAGCAGCCUUCAAGCUUAUAUUCCCUCUUCCCGUAUUCUUACCAAACCAAAUCACAAAUCAACUCUUAUAUUCCCUCUUCCCGUAUUCUUACCAAACGAAAUCACAAACCCAAAUCACAUUCUCUCUUCUUACCAAACCAAGAUCAACCCCAAAUCACAUUCUCUCUCCUAACCAAACCAAAUCACAAACAUGGCAUCCUCUUCAGAAAACAAUUAUGAAGAUUCACUUGAUGAUUACUCUGAUCAAUAUUUUAAUCAAGCCUUUGCGAAUUUAUCCAUUCGUCAUCAAGAAGAAGCUAGGAAACAAAGAAAAAAACGAGCUUAUAUCGAAAGACAUCGUGAAGAAGGGCACAUUCGUUUAUGGAAUGAUUAUUUCAGUGAAACUCCAACAUAUCCUGAAAAUUUCUUCCGACGACGAUUUAGAAUGAACAAGCGAUUGUUCAUGCAUAUUGUUGAUCGAUUCUUCAAUGAGGUUGAAUUCUUUCAACAAACGCAAGAUGCGCUCGGAAGGAAUAGUCUCUCUCCACUUCAGAAGUGUACAGCAGCCAUUCGUGUCUUGGCAUAUGGUACUGCGGCUGAUGCUGUUGACGAAUACCUCUGACUCGGUGAAACUACUACUCGGUCAUGUGUGGAAUAUUUUGUGGAAGGCAUAAUAUAUUUAUUCGGCGAGGAGUACCUAAGAAGACCAACACCGACUGAUCUUCAACGUCUACUUGAUAUUGGUGAGGCUCGUGGAUUUCCCAGGAUGAUAGGAAGCAUCGAUUGUAUGCAUUGGAAGUGGAAGAAUUGUCCCACCGCUUGGAAAGGGCAAUAUUCAUGUGGCUCGGGAAAACCAACAAUCGUUUUGGAGGCGGUUUCUUCGUAUGAUCUAUGGAUAUGGCAUGCGUUUUUUGGACCUCCAGGUACCUUAAAUGAUAUCAAUGUUCUUGAUCGUUCACCUGUUUUUGAUGACAUAAUUAAUGGUCAAGCUCCGCAAGUCACCUACUAUGUCAAUGAAAGAGAGUAUCACAUGGCUUACUAUCUCACCGACGGUAUUUAUCCGAAAUGAGCUACUUUUAUCUAAUCAAUUUCACUACCACAAGACCCGAAAUCGGCUUUAUUUGCUAAACAACAAGAAGCUGUCCGAAAAGAUGUCGAGCGUGCUUUUGGAGUCUUGCAAGAUCGCUUUGCGAUUGUUAAAAAUCCGGCACUUUUUUGGGAUAAAGUCAAAAUUGGGAAGAUUAUGAGAGCAUGUAUCAUACUCCAUAACAUGAUAGUAGAAGACGAACGAGAUGGAUACACUCAAUAUAAUCUUUCAGAGUUCCAACAAGAAGAAGGCACCAGAAGUUCACAUGUCGAUCUCGAUUUUGAUAGGGAAAUGCCUAUAAAUAUCGCCAAUAUGAUGCAUGCUCGUACUACAAUUCGUGAUAACCCAAUGCAUGAACAACUGAAAGCUGAUUUGGUUGAACAUAUGUAGACUAAAUUCAGACACUGAUGAAGACAACUGAGCUCGGAUGUUUCUUUCAAAUUAUUGUCGUUUAUUUUACUUAUUUUGUUUUCAUAUUUUGUUUUAAAUUAAUGUUUAAAAUAUUUUAUUUUAAUAUGUUUUAUUUAAUAAAUAAAAUUAAUCUUUAAAAUAUUUAAGUUUAAUAAUUGUUUUUUCUUAAAAACCCCAAAUUAAGAACUUACCAUUGAAGCUAAGAAAAUAUGUGUCUUUUAAGUACAAACUCUUAAUUAUCAUUUAUUACUAAAAAAUCAUUAAGAGCCCAAAUUUGGAUCUUGGGGUUAAUGAUACUCUAAUAUCUUUUUAUCUAAAAAUAAUAAAAUUAAUAAUCUCUUUCCACGUACCUAGUGGAUAAGUAUUUACCAAUCUUUUCGUUAACGUUUUUGAAAAUGGCUAACAUGAAGUGGUUAUCCAUUAAUUGCACAAAACCGUACCUAUCAACAUAGUUUUGUUUGGCACAACAUUGUUAUCUAUUUUAUAUCACAUUGAUCAAUACAUUACGAGAACAUAAAAAAGUUCAAACUAAGAAACAAAAAGAUAAAAUCUUGAUCACUUAGUCUUUAAUCUGAUGGGGGAAAGCAACCUUAUUCCAUUUAUACAUAAAGUGGGUGUAAACACUCAGUUAUAACACAUGCAAACGGUUAACACUUCUUUAGCAAAUAUCAAGUUUCUGGCUUACAAAUCCAUAAACAGAAGCAUCAUGUUCCUCCACAAGCCUGAAAUCAUUGUCGUGUAUGUUGUAACAUUAAGCAACACUUUUAGAAUUUGAAAUCAUUUCCGUGUAUGUUGACAUUACUCUUUUAGAAGAGGAGACUACAAAAAGAUAAAUCCCAAGAAUCUUCCAUUUUACAAGCCUUCGUUUAUGUCAAAGCUAAUAAGGUGGAUGAUGCUUGGGAUUUAUCUUGUUAUCACCCAGACAAAAAGAAAGAGUGGACAGUAACACACAAAGAGACCUGGCACAUUAUAAGACAAAAAAAAAGAAAGAUAAAUCCAUUUUCACUCAGGACAUCAUGGUCCUUUACUCUCUUCAAGACCUUGCAAAAAAUCGAUUAAUCAUGAGAUCUUUAUAAGUCACUUCGUUUGGGAAAGCAACACUUGAUUACCAAAUGCGGUGACUUAUAAUACUCUCAUAAAACAAUCUUCAGCAACUUCUCAAGAAAAGAUAAAUCAAGAAAGAGAGAGAGUAAAUGAUAUCUGCAUAAACAUUUUGUUAUAUACUUAACCGGAUCCAAAUACCCUGAGAUCCUUUUCCAUCCCACCUGCAGAUAUAAGAUCAAAUCAUCGUAGUUCAAUUGAAAAGAAUUGAAAAGCCAGACUAUCAAGAUUUAUCAAGAAUAGUUUAGGAUCUACCUUUUCAGAUUAUGAAGUUUCUUUCUUCGCAAUCUCAAUGGAUCGAUUCUUGCUCGAGCUUAUUGAGAUGGAUCCAGAGCUCUGUUUCGUGAGUAACAAUGUAAACGGCGUACCGCUUUACCCUAAUAGAG